AUUACACAACGUCUGAAGACAAGUCAACUUGCCAAUUCCUACUGGCAUUUCCUCCAACGAAUCUGUAUUUGAAUUAUUGAGAUGAUGCAAUUUGAUGAGGUUUCCCAUGGCUGCACACAACUUCUUCAGUAGCUGACAAUAUUCCAACAAAAGCGUGUGUAAAUUGUAAAGAUUGCUCACUGAUUCAGGCAGAGUUCUAAUCUCAGUUCCAGACAGGUUAAGGUACCUUAAAUACCUCAAAUCACCAAUUGAAUCCGGUAGCUCGGAGAUGUAAUAUCCACGCAAAGAGAAGACCCUUAAGCUUUGGAGUUUGAACAACUUAGGAAGAAUGCUAUAAGCCAAGAAUCCACGCGAACUAUUUGACAACAUUAGUGGUAAAAAAGUUCGCAAAUGUUGGAUAUCAUACAAUUUCUCAAACCUUUUAACGCCGUCAUAUUCUCCACAAAUAUAUGAUAGAUGACGAAGAUUUCUUGAAAAACUUUGCUGCUUGUUAACCUCUGAGAUAUACUCCAUUCUGAAGUACAUUUCCCCAGCAGCCCAUUGAGCAAGGUCGUUGACGAGGUCAUGCAUCACAAAUCGUGAUCUACUGCUGCUUGAUUGCUGGAAAAAAGAUCUUGCACGUAGCUCUUGAAAGAACUUUCGACCUAGAUCUUCACUAGGAUUCCCGCUCUCUCCGUGAUCCAAGAAACCCGAAGCACACCAUAAUAAAAUUAUCUCCUCCUCUUCAAAUUCGUAAUCCUUUGGUAACAAUGAGCAGUAUGCAAAGCAUUGUUUCAAAGUUGGAGGAAGAUAAUAAUAGCUCACUGCAAGGGCUGGUAUAAUGCGACAUCUCUCUUGUGGUAAUUCCCAUAUCUUGCUACUGAGCACAUCUUCCCACUCACGUCUGUCAUGUUUUCCACGUAAAAGUCCUCCUAGUGUUUUUGCUGCCAAGGGCAAGCCAUUGCAUUUGAUCACUAUCUUCUUGCCAAUGUCCUCCAAUGACUUAUGAGAACUGAAAUCUCUCGUUCCCAAAGAGUGCUGAGCAAACACAGACAGACAAUCCUCAGUUGACAAGUUUUUCAAUUCAUAAGCUUGAUCCGGGCUCAUGAUUUUUGCAACCUCUUGAUUGCGAGUAGUGACAACAAUCUUACUUCCCUGUGCGCCAGCUUCAAAUGGAAGGCUGAGGUCUACCCAAUCAUUGUAAUCCUCAUUCCACACGUCGUCCAAAACUAGCAAAAACUUCUUUCCAAACAGGUGUUUCUUCAAUUUCUCUUGAAGCAAAUUUAAGUCCUGAUUAUCCACAUUCUGGUCAGCAGCAAUGGAAAUUAGGAUUGAUUUUGUAAGCCUGAAAACAUCAAAAUCAUCAGAGACGCAAGUCCAUGCCUUGAGAUCAAAAUGAUCCUCCACCUGCUUAUCAUUAUAGACAAGCUGAGCAAGAGUGGUUUUACCCAGCCCGCCCAUACCUAUAAUAGGAAUAACAGAGAAUCCACCAUCAUUUCUUGAAUCAUCCUUCAACAACAAUUCAACAAUUUCCUUCUUUUCUGUUUCCCUGCCAGAGACCUUGGCUUCAUUCACCAAAGAGGUUGUGGGUAGUCUUUGCCUGUCUUUUUUGGACCUCCCAGCUGAACUUACGUUCAAACCCAGCGAGUCUUUCUGUGUUACAAUAUCUUGAAAUCUGUCGUUGAUCUCAUUGAUUUUGGACAUUAUGGCGUAAUCGAACUGAAUCGAUUGUGGAGUAAAAGUGGUGCAGCAAGUAGGAAUGAGCUUCCGAAACUUACUUGUUCUUGUACGACUGCUACUGGGUUGAUCCUGAGCAGCAGCUGGAUCUCCAUUUCCAAGCAGCAACUUCCUCCGGAAAGCCUCAGUUUGAAACUCAUCCAACAAGUCUUCAACAUCAUAAGCCAAGUUCUGAAGCUUGCCAAGCCACUUCUUCACAAACUGAUUAGUCGUCUUCUUCUCCUCAGCAUCCUCAAGCACCGCCUUGAUCAUCUCCAGCAUAUUCGCCCACUUCAUCAGAUCGGCCUUGAUUUGCUCUUGGCGUGCAAAAAACAGAAUCCCCUCUGAAGCUAACUUAUUGACCAGCAAAUCAACGGACGCCGUAAGGAUUGCCUCUCCGAUGAUUGACAUUUUUUUUUUCUUUCUUCUCUCUUUUUUUUUUUUUUUGGGGGGGGGCAAAGAAAGAAGCAGAAUUUUGAGUUUUGAGAAGCAAAAUGAGAAAAUUGAACAGAAAGUGUGAAGGGUCAAGCAAAAUGCAGGUAACAAGUCUUCCACUUGUUGUUUAUUCCAGGAAAGGGAACAUAAAAACAGAGCCCACCACCCAUUAAUAAUUUAGCAAUUUACCAAUCACCAACCACCACCACUUGUUACCAGAUUCAAUAAAUAUAAAAUCGCACGUUGAUAUUUGUAGGGCCAAGCAACAUUAAUCCAAUGUCCGGGUAAAUGCUGAAUAAAGAGGGAGGUGGAAUGUAUCUGCUACGAACCUACGCUUUACAAGUCUUCAAAAUCAUAAUAAACCAAGUUAAAUCAAAACAUUUCUCUCUCUGUGUCUCUCUUAUAUAAUUACUUUAUUUAUUGAAUUAAUUUUCAUGCUAAGACGAAGACUUAAAUGUACAAUACAAUGUUUUAUAAUUACAAUGGUAAUUUCAACUAUCAUGUUAUAUUAAUAUCGUGUUAAAAUAAAUUAUAAUAAAAUAAAACAAAAAUUCUAAUGUGAAAACAAAAACUGUCCCACCACCAAUAAUUUAGCAAAGCUUCACUUUAUUACACUAAAGUGAAAACAAAAUCGGCCCCCACCACCAUCAAUAAAUUAGUACAUCCAUCUAAAUGGAAGUAGAAAUUGGAACUCACUUUAUGGCUCGUAUGCAAUACAGGUAUCAACAUUUAAUUAGAGUUCACACACAAACGUGUGUGUGUCUAGUUUUAAUUGAGAGAUAAAUUAAACAUAAAUACUUAGAUGUUUCUAAAUGAUUGACUAAUGAUAUUAUUGGUAUUUAUAAAUUUCUAAGAUGUGAUAAUUAUGUGGGGGACAUAUAUUUAUGGUUAUAGAAAAUGGCGGUAAAAGUGGUACAAAUAUAAUAUAAUAAAAAAAUAUAAACUGCAGUAAAUUAAUAUUUACUUCAAAGUACGUUAUAAAUAUCGCUUUCCUUAAUACGUUAUUUGCUCCCACCGAUUGAGUUAUGCAUAUGGAUUAAGCAAAUAUGCAUUUAGGAUACAAUAAAGCAUUGAUUUGUUUGUUUAUGUUAUAUAUCAAUGAAAGCAAACAUGAAUAUUCUUGAAUGUUAUAAGCCUAACGAGAAUUAAUAUAUUAUUCUUACAAAAAAAAUAAUAUGUUGGAUACUUGAUGCACAAAAAAUAAAUGUUAAUUGAUGAAAUUCUUUUGAAGAAAGAGGACUAGAAAAAAAAAAUGGUGUAGGAUCAUUUUAUUCAUGUCUAAUUGACAUUUAUUUUUUUAUGAAUGUGAAGGCAUUUUGGUAAUUUUAUGGUCACAAGAGUUGUAUGUUGUGGAUAGUUAUUCGUUUUGAACUACAUUGUGUGCAGUUAGUCGUAUUUCACAUUUAUAAAAAGUAACUAUGUCGUUUCCUUGGUUUGGAGAAAACCAAGCUGUGAAUAUGAACGAUAGUCAAGUUUAAGCAUUGUCAGUAUGAGUGAAAUAUGCAAACUCAUUUUCAUAUUUUAUUAUGAUUUUAGAGUGUAGUAAACCAUAUUUGUAAAAUAAGAUUUUAAUGCUCUAAUUUAAUGAUUUCUAGAAUAAAUUUGAUUUACGUAUUGGCACAUUAUUAAAAUUUUAUGAAUAUUGGUUUUCCCUAUCGAUUUUGAGUAAAGUAUAAUAGUAUUUUGAAGAAAAUAAAAGUAAAUUUAAAGUAUGUUAAUGGAAUGAAAAGAAGACUUAAUGUACGAUUAAAAAUGUGUUAUUUAUGUGUAUAAAAAUUUGUUAUUAAAAAUUAUGAGACAAAUCCCUCUCCCUCUGGUUAGAUACAGCUCAGAUGAGAGCCUUUUGGGGCCCCUCUGAAUACAUAGAGAGGUUAAUAGGCUGUGUUUUUUAGCGCUUUUGCCUUUUGGAGGCCCAUGCAUGUUACAUAUAAGAUAGAGGCCUUUGGGUCUAUCUGAGUGCACAUAGAAGCUUUGGAUCGUGUGCUUGGGUGCUUUUGUCCUUUAAGGACUAUUUUAUGUAUGCAGUAUGAUGAGAUAUGAUGAUAUAUAUGAGAUAGCACUUCAUUGAUCUAUCCUUUGUAGCUCCAGGCAUGACAGUGCUCGGAUAAUAUGUCAUUACACUACCCAUAUGAGGUCUAGGUACGACAAGAUCAUUUACUUGUUUAGUGACAGUUUAAGAAUCAAGUAUUCUAUGUUAUCUUUUGAUACGAUUUUCAUGUGUAUUUCGUACAAUAUAAUGUAUUCUUCAAUGACAAUUGUUCAAUUUAAAGUUUGAAUAAUUUAACAAUGUUCUUACUUAUAGAUUAGUAAAAUUGGUAUGUCGAAAAGAUAUGAUCAUCUUUAAAGGAAGUUACUUUCAAAAGAUGUUAUCCACUCACUGAGCUUACUAAUUUUUAUAUUCACCUUAUUUUAUUAUAUUUUUCCCUUGUAAAAGGAUGCAGAUACACCAAUUGAACGACCAACUGUAGUUAUUUUGAAUUUUUGGUCACGUGAUGGCGCUAGGAGAAAUAGAUGGUAUUAUGUAUUUUGAUCAUCUCAUUUUGAAAUGUAUAAUUGUAUUAUGAUUCGAUGAUUAUGGAUGUUUAAUGUAUAUUGAAAUCAGUUAUAUUAUAAUCUUUUCAUAUUGGAGAUGUUUGGGUGUUAUUUGGUAUUUAGUUGAGAAGGUUGAUUGAUGGAACUGAUUAUAUAUUAAAGUAUAUUAGGAGUGCUUGUAUAAAUUUUCAAUUUUGGGAUUGUUAUAUUUAUAAGGGAAAUAAUUGUCGAAUUUUCGGUAGAAUCGUUACUAAUUAAAUUAUUAUCAGUCAAGUUAGACGAUAUCAGAUAGACCUGCAUGGAGUUCAAGGCGAGUCGUUUCAAAUCAAGUCCUUUAUAAACCUCACUCACCCCUUGUUAGCUCUCCCUCGUUACAAGCAUCUAUCUAUCAAUAUAUCAAUCAAUGCUUACAUUUUCUUUCCUCUUAUACACCAAAAUGAAGUUCAUCUUGGCAAUAUUGCUGUGGCAUUAUUAUUGUCAAUAGUAUAGAACGUUUACAAUUAUCAUCUUCCGGUUGACCAAACCUCUAGCGACGUUCCAUUCGGAGCCAACUGUGUGGCCUCAGUCAGCCCGAAACUCUCUUUAAAACCCGAUGCUGAAAUUAAACCAAAAUGAAAUCCUCGGCGCAGCAAUAACUGUACUGAAGGAACGGGAUAUUCAAAUCUACGCGCAAAAGCAAGUGAUUAAUAAUUAAAAAAUAAAAAACAGCCUGCCGUUUUGAAAGUGUUAACUUUAUUGGAAAUGCAAGGAAUCAUUUAUUGGAAUGAACACCCGUUUGGACGGUAGUGAUUAGAGUCUGUGCUGUCACAUGCUUGUGUUUGCCUUUUAAAAUACGACAAAGAAUAAAAAAAAUGGAACGAAGAAAAGAAUCCGUUGCACUAUCGAAGCAGGAGAUUUGCCCAUGCGUCCUCAUCAGCAUCAAUGAACUUUUCGAUGUGUGAGGUGUGAACGCGUAGAUUUAUGACGAGGGUUGGUUGCCUGCACACGAAUCUAUCUUGUGGUCGCAAUCACGUGGAAGGUCCGAAAGGAAAAGCGAGGGCUUCGGCCUUCGGUCUAAUCGAAUGCGCUCGGCUUGAAAUUUUGGGAAGAAAAGGCCGAUUGUUGAAGAGCUCAACAACUAAAAAGCCGAGUAUAUGAACAGAGCGUGCUCAUGACUUCCAUUGGUGAAUACAUUAAAGUUGUAGAAGCUUGCGACAAAGCAAUUGGGCCAGCUAAGGCUGGCGAUUUUGCCGUCGCGAAAACGGCAGCUGAUGAAGCCGACCUGAGCGUUUCUCGCGCUAACGCAUACAAAAUCGAACCCGAACCUGAAACAUGUGACUUUGAACUUGAAAAUUGCUUCUAAAAAUGCAGUGACCAUAGCCAUCAAGGCUCUUAGUAAUCCUAGUGCUCAAAGCGAAAAUUGAAACAAGGAGAGCACAAUUAUUUAAUUUAAUUAAUGAUGAUUUCAUAUUUCUUUCAUCAUCGAUUUGUCUUUUUUAUCUUUUCUUUUUUUGAAUUUCUUCAUUUAGAUAUGCAAACCAAUGAUAUUCUUUUUGAUGAUAUUGUUGGAGUGAAUAAUAGUGAUAAUGUGUGCUCUUUGAAGCAGCUUUCUGCUUAUGUUGUAAUGAAUAAUUUUUUAAUUGGUUGGUUGAAUUAUUCGGUGCUUUUAUUUAUUUAAUUACGUGAUGAUCGUGCAUGACUAAUUUAAGUGGAUUCACAGAACUAAAAAAAUCAAAUAAUGAUGGAAAUCAAAACGAUUAAUUGAUUGUCUUCAUGUGUGUUAAUCAAUUAAUGCAAAGAUUAAUUGCCAAUUAAUCAAUACAUAAAUAUUUGUUGACUUAAUUUUUGUCAAUCAAUCAAAUUUUCUAAUCACAAUUGUAUCAUUUCUGUUUACUAUUUUAUCAUUCUGCAACAACUUUCUCUCACAAGGUAAUAGAUUGUAGUAUUUCAUACCAAAUUAAAACUUGUCCAUGUUACCGAUAAAAAUCAUGGUAGCAUUAUUAAAGAGCUUUUUCUUUUCUUUUUCUCCCCCUUUUUCUAUUUUGUCCUUUGUUUGAUUGGGCGUAAUGAAACAGAUAUAUCAAGGGACCAAGCAUGACCUAUAUAUAUAUAUGUGUAUCUUCAUCAACAAACAAAGAAAUAAGGGAUUGAAUUUGAUGUGUCAUAGCACAAUAAGUGAAAUUUGGACAGCCAAGACAAAUAUAGAACCAUCUAAUCCACGAAAGGAUAGACAUGGGACUUGACAUGAAAAUAAAUACAAAAACAAACACAAACAUUUACUCCUCCAAUGAUUGUUUCAAUAUCUUUACCCUUGAUAUUUGCUACAUUUUAUAAAAUAUAAAUCUGCUGGUAAAUUUUUUGUACCUUAAACAGUUUUCUGACUUAUGAGAAAAAAAACUAUUUUAAAAAAAAUAUUGCAGAGAAAAAUAAAAAAGAAAAAACUGCUAAAGAGACAAAAUAAUGGUAGAAUGCUGACAAAAAUAAUGUUAAAAUCAACUAGAUCACAUAAAAUUUGAUUACCUUCACUACUAUAAGAUUUAUUUGAUUAAUACAAAUUAAUUCAAAUCUGAUAUGUUAAGUAGAGAAUAACAAUGUUUUAGAUCAUUGUUUAUUUACAGUACAUGGAUAAACUGGGUAAUUAGUUAAAGAGCCGUAGACUAAAAAUGGAUUUAUGCAUUUAUCUUAUCUCCACAUUAUAUGUUGAUGCUUUCAUUUGUACUCGUUCUUUAGUUUCUUCUCAAUGCAAAUGCCAGGAUAGGUGGAACAACAUUUCCAAUGUGCUAUGCUUGUGUUGGAUGUUAUCAACAAUCUUGUAGCCAUCCGAAAAACCCUACGUGACAGGAAGUAAGAUUAAUUCAAAAGUAUAAUCACAAGUGAUGCAAAUAGUAACGAAAUCUAAACAGUUAAGAAGUUUUACAGUCAAACUUCUAAGAAUGGAGAUUUGUUCAUUGGUUUUAAAAUUUAUUUUGCAUAUUCUAAUUUUUCAUUUAAAUAAUUGCAUGAAUUUGGAUCCAGUGUUGAUCACAAUCUUGUAAGAAGAUACCCACAAAUCUUAGCUCAGCACUAAAUCCAAAUCUCAAUUGCAAAUAUCAAAAUAGCAAUAAGACGUACUCGAGAUCAAUCGCACAUUCACGAGCUUUCACCGAUUGUAUCUCUAACUGUUAUUGCACGGAAAGGAGCGCCAUUUGGUAACUUGGCCUUAAGCUCAGGACCGGCAAAGACGUGCAUUGGUUCUGGCCAUUCCGGCAUUGUUUCCUCAGGUGAAGCUGCCCAUACGAAUGCUUGUUUACGACAUGGAAACAGAUCGUAUGCUGCUGCUUCCAAUGCAUCGGGCAUCUUGAUAGGCACCCCUCUGUUAAGAAAUUGAUUCAGGCUUUUUGUACCACCCCACAACUUACUAUUUAUUCAAACAUAUUUACUUUAAAAGUCAGGGCAUCUUGAUAGGCACACCUCUGUUAAGUUAAAUGAAUAUCGGUGGGUGAGGUUUAUAAUAAUAGACAGCAACAACAUACCACAACUUCUUUAUGGACAUGCAAUCCAUCGGUCGUAGCAGAACUAGCUGACAGCGCCUGCGGGGCACGUGCAAUUAUAUUUUGAUCAGUGUUCACGAAGCUAAAGCAGUGUAAAUAACAGAUUAUGGCUUAAUUAAGUAAUUACCUGAAGGUGAUUAAAUAAUUGAGAAUGAAAUUAUAUUAUUAAGCAAAGACAUAAUUACCCCAUUUAUCUGUUUGAAAUCCCGUCUUGAGAGCAAAUGGCGGCACUGACGAGGCUUGCUCAAUUUCGGCCUGCAUGGCUGCAUGUCUGAUAAAGGUGGAAACAUAGUGCCUUUAGCUUAAUCGUAGAAUGUUAAAUCUGAUGCCGCUGAAUAUGGAGGGUGAUUCAUAUACAAGCUCUUUAUGAAUAUAUAGUUGUUAAUUAUAGGAGAAGUUGCAAUAUGAAGUUAAUUUGAAAUUUAUAUUUCUCACCUCGAAUAAUUUCUGGUAAAUUGCUGAUUCGAUAAAGUCAAACUUUCUUUAUGAUCAUCAUCUUCUUCUUGGUCUUCGCCUUCCGAUGUUCCCAUUUCUGAUGUUUCUCCACAUUUUCUUCCUCUUUUAACAACUUUCGUUGAAGAUUUUGUCAGAAAUAUCAUUGUGAGAAGAGUAUUUCUAAAGUUUACAACUUGGAAAUGAGACCUUAUGUGAUAUGUACAUGAAGGACAGAGUACAUGUCAGUAUUUAUAAGAAACAAUGUGAUGGUUUUAAAGAGACUAGUGGUGGUUUCAAAGAAACUAAAUAAAGUUUAUUAUUUAAUAAAAAGUCAAAUACAAAUCCUAAAGAAUCCGCUGUAUAAUCUGACAAGAUUUGGAAAACGGAGGCACAUGCAUGGCAAUAUCAUUACUUUGUAAGACUGGAUUAUUUUUAUAAAUUUUUAUCCAAAGAAACUAAAUAAAGUUUAUUAUUUAAUAAAAAGUCAAAUACAAAUCCCGAAGAAUCCGUUGUAUAAUGUGACAGGAUCUAGAAAACCGAAGCACAUGCAUAGCAAUAUCAUUACUUUGUACGAUUGGAUUUUUUUUAAUAAAUUUUUAUCCAAAGAAACUAAAUAAAGUUUAUUAUUUAAUAAAAAUUCAAAUACAAAUCCCGAAGAAUCCACCGUAUAAUCUGAUAGAAUCUGAAAAACGGAGGCACAUGUAUGGCAAUAUCAUUACUUUGUACGACUGGAUUAUUUUUACAACUUUUUAUCCAAAGAAACUAAAUAAAGUUUAUUAUUUAAUAAAAAGUCAAAUACAAAUCUCGAAGAAUCUGCUGUAUAAUCUAACAAAAUCUGAAAAACAGAGGCACAUGUAUGGCAAUAUCAUUAUUUUGUAUGACUGGAUAAUUUUUACAAAGUUUUAUCUAAUCCCUUGUUUGAUGCCAGUAAAUCAAUAUUUAAAUAUAUAGUUAUUUUGUUAUGUUAUUUGAUUUUAACUAUUAAUGUCAAUAUUGGAAUAUAUCUUUAUAUUGAACUAAUAAAACAACUGUAUAAAGACAUUUGAAUAAACUUAAUUACGAAUUUUGAAUUCAUGAUGUAAGAUAGCAUUUGCUUUUUAAUCUGAAAUCUGAGUGGGGUUUGAAUUUGGCUGAAAUAUGAAUAUCUUUAAAUUGCAUAUGUUUAAAUGACAUGUUUAUUUUCUCUUUUUCGAUAUCCAAAUAUAAGGGGCAUCUUUUUUUUAUAUAUAUAAAUCAAAAACAUCCAAAGUAUGAUUAUUUAACAUUUAUGUUUUUGUAAGAAUUAUUUGUACUUAUUAUAAAUUUUAAGAGUUAAAUACAUGCACAUUACAAUUAAAAUCAAACAUACGUAGAGUUGAGUAAUUGAUCUUUAAAUAAAAAUAUUAUUACAUUACUCCAAAUAUAAAAUUGAUUCAAAUUUAUUAUACUAAUUAAAAUGUGAAUAAAUUUAAAUUUAAUUUUAUAAUUUACAUCAUCUUUUUUACCAUUUUAAAUUGUAAAGCCCAUUCGCCCAAACCUAGUCUUAGUUAGUUGUACAUAAGUGUAAAGGCCCAUAUGUUCUUAAGAAGUGUUAAGUUUUCAUAGACCCAUAAGUGAAUGGAGAAAUGUAAUGCCCCAAAUUCAAGCCAGAGUUAUAACUGUUGGCAGAUUUGUAUAAUCUUUUUAAAACAAUUCUCUAAUUAUGUUAAAAGACAAAAUAAAUCUAAUUAAAUUCUUAUAUUUCUCUCUCUUUCUCUAUAAGUUUCUUUUUCUAGUUCAUUACUCCCACACAACUACACCAAAGUCUUUUAUAUAUAUAUAUAUAUUUUAUUUUCUCUCAAACACUUUGUAUAUUACAUAAUAACUAUUUAAGUCCAUUUUUAGUUCUACUCAAUUCAAGUAUAUAGAAUUUUCUUUUUAAUUAAAUAUAUAUGAUUUAAACUUUCAAAAUUUUGUAAAAACAAUAUCCCUAAUAUGAGGUUUGUGGAAGAAGUUAAAUUUUUUUUAAUAAAAAAGAAACUAAAAUUUUAAAAAAGAGUUUUUGAAAACUUAAAAUAGGUUUUGAAGGGGGGGGGCUUGAGAAAAAAAAUUAUGAGGUGCUAUUAGUUCCACUCUUCAAGCAAAGAUACACAGACCUUUACUCUUCCAAAUAAAUUUUGCGGUGAAUUUUAUUGUUGGCUAAUCACGCUGAUAUGAGUGUGAAUAUGAAAAGGAUAAAACUUAUAAUAAAGAAUUAUAUGAACUUAUAAUAAAGCAUUAUAUGAACUAUAUUUUAAAGAGAAAAUAUAUUUUUAAAACUAUGAAAAUUUUCUUGCAAAUAUGAGCUAGGGAGAUAAAUUGAAGAGGUUACAUGUCAUCAAUCUAGUUACUUCAGAAAAUGUAGCCCAAUGUCUUCAGAUGGGUUAGUGUUGGUGUGUUACUAAGAAAUAGGCCGAAGUUGUAAAAAUAAAAAAUAAAAACAGUAGGUUUUCAUAUUAACAAAGAACAGUUAUUUCACAGAACACAUGAAUAUCUCUAUGAUGUUGAUGCUUUCAUUUCUACAGCUUCUAUUGGAAUUGGUUCAGCCAUGAUCAUUGGCAAUCAGCCAAGAUUAUUGGCAAUAUUGUAGGCUAUGUCUUUACCCGUUAGAAGCAUAACUUGUGCAGUUAAUUUUGGCACAUCACAUGUUUGACGAAAUUGCCAUAACAAAUGCAUAACUCAUGUACUCUUUCUUUUUUUAUCAUUAAUUCUGUACUAUAAAUAUGUACCUGUAAAUAGUGAAAUACACACAAAAAUCAUUUCUUUUAUCAAUUGUUCUUCUUCUAAUAUAUUUUACAGCUUCUUUUAGUUUUCUCCCCAGUGCAAACUCCAGAGGAGGUGGAACAGCAUUUCCAAUCUGCCGAUGCUUGUGUUGGAUGUCACCAACAAAUUUAUAGCUAUCGGAGAAACCCUGCUGGAAUCAAGAGAGCAGGGUAACAUGACAGCAGAAACAGUUGGCAAAAUUUAUCUUGUUUGAUUCAGUAAUUAGCUUGUCAAGUUAAAAGUGUCACCGGUGCUGCAUGAAAAUUAUUUUUGGUCAUUCUGGUUUUUCAGCAUUCCUACUAACUGCAGGAUAUUUACAUAUAUAGCCAAAAAGACUUGUGAUCGAGCACACUCACGAACUGUGAUUAUUCUAUCCUGAUCUGGGUGAAAGCACGUUCCGACCAUACCCAUCGGAUGAGGAUCAGUAACGGAGGUUGGAAAGUUUCCUUUCCAGUCCAACCUUCCGAACAGACCCUUCCAUUGAUUAUGCUUUUCAGCUGUAUUGGGUAAGCACCAGGGUAUUAAAUCUACAAACUGUCCGUUAGACAAUCGAACCUGGAGGGGGAAUUUGAAAAGGAAAAUGUUUAAAACCAAAGCAAUUAUGAAAUGAUAAUUUCAGUUGGAUCUAAAAGAAAAACUAUACACCUUCUCACUAGGAAGAACACGCCAAUCGGAACCAGGCUGUUUUGGGAUCUUUUGACACCUAAUAAGGUUCAGCUCACUCAUUGCCUUUGAUAUAUGAUCGUUUAAGACCAGCAUAUCUCCUCUGAUUUUCUUUUGAAACCCUGACACUAGUUCACUUUUAUACUGCACGGUAGGAAAAUACAAGAAACAAGACCUUUGGUAGAAGGAACAACAAUAAAGAUAAAAUGAGCAUCACAGACAGGUGAAGAAAAUCCCACUUCCAUGGUUGUUACAGAAGCCCCAUUGCCAACAGUUGGGAGGUCUCCAAUUGUAUCUCUAACUGUUAUUGCACGAAAAGGAGCACCAUUUGCGGUGCUUCGAACAGCAGCAUAAUGGGAAUUUCUAGCUAACUUGACCUUUAGCUCAGGGCCAGUGAACACAUGCAUUGGCUCAGGCCAUUCUGGAAGGGUUUCCUCAGGUGAUGCUUCCCAUAUGAAUGCACGUUUACGAGACUGAGACAUGCCAUAUGCUCCUGCUUGCAGGACACCAAAUCUCACCUACAACAACAAAUUAGAUGAAUAAUUUGUAUAAGCUACAUGAUACUUUCACAAUUUUCAGAUUAAAUUGACAAAUGAAAUGGAGAAACAAAUUCAGGGAAUUUUGAUAGGUACCCCUCUAUAAAGUUAUGAGUGAGUAAAUCAAAAAUGGUAUCUACAAAAUAUAUUAAGAUCUCAUUUUUUAUAUAUUUUUUAUACAAAUUUUUUUUUUCUCAAAGCAGUGCAUGGCAGUCUUUCUUGAAUCUGACUUUUCAAACACAAACUCUACAAAAUAUAUUGAAGGCAAAUGAUCUGAAUCUGCAGUUUCAACCACCAACAUUAACCACAUUGCCACAAACAAUGGCACGUUUGUAAAGAGACUCACUGAAACAUGUUUUUCUUAUUAACUCCCCAUCCCAUUUGGUAGCCUUCGAAGAGCAAGGUGGCUUAACACUUAUCGCAGAUAAACAAAAUUUCUCCAUAUUCUUAUCAGCUUGCAUCUGUUCCACUCUAAUGUCUUCAGGAUCUUCCUCACUAUUUUCUCCAUGUUCUUCAUCGAGUUCUUCAUCCGCUUUCGCUUCACGGAUAUAUGCCUCCUUUGAAUCUUCAGGCAAAUAAUUUGAGUAAAACUCUUCCCAAAUCCUCUUUAUGAAUCUCGUGGUUGUUGCUUGCAUUACCUUGUUUUUUGAUGCUCUCAGAUUUGAAUUUAUUUCCUUCUUCAGCACCACCUUUUUUUUCACCAAAGACCUGGUGUGGCGUCUUUCCUCCAUUUUUUCAAAAAGACCAGACACAAAUGCACACUUGCUGAUCCUUUUAUUAGGAAGCUCUGCAAAUUGUUGGAGUAUGAUAUGUCCAUGAACCACCACAUACCUUUCAAAUUCUGUGGGAUUGGAAGAAUAUAAGCAGGAUUAAUCUUACUGAACUUGGACACUUUUUUGAUUACAUCUGCAAACGAGAGUCGAGAUGCUCGACUCUGAUUGUUCAACAUUGUAAUGAUGGCAAUAGCAAGCCUCGCAGUUUUUGGAACUGGUUUGUACCACGCUGCAUACUGCUUACAAGAAGACUAACGGCAAAUCGCGGAACAAGUCCCUCAAGGAGCAAGGACGAGAUCGCGACGAGGACGCCGCGAGCUUAGGUGGGGGAGGAUGUUACGGUCCGCCCAAAUCGCUAGCCCAAUUACCCAUAAUUUCAGGCUAGAGAGCCAACACAAAGCCAAGAGUGCUAGCUUGGCCCAAUUCCAGAAACUUCUAGGCAAUUCUUGCACAAAUGAGCUUGUAAAUAUUCUAGAAUACUCCAUACUUUUCCAGCACAUGUAAAUAUCUAGAAUUCUAGGCACAUUGUAGAAUUCUCUAGAAUCUCUAGAGCUUGGCAAGCCUCCCCUAUAAAUAUGGGAUGGCAUUAGGCAUUUGCAUCCAACAAACACUACAACAAGCAACUCAAGCAUUGUAAUCUCUUUUGUGCAAUACAAGUUUCUUCUUUGGCUUAAUUGCUCUCUUCUCUAGUCCGAGAAGUUCUAGGUUUACUUAGCAACAUUCGGCAAAGUUGUCUAAGUGCCGCACGGGUUAGCUGCGCAAAACACUCAUCCCGUGACAUUAAGCACUAGUACCACCACCAAACCUCUUGAUAGUAUACCCAUAUAGAUGCAUACCAGGAAAUAUCUGUCCGAACUGAUAUGGAAAGGAACGAGUAUCCAAAUUCGAUCAUCCAUUCCUGUAUUGCACUCAAAUAUAUUGGUAUUCCCCCAAUAUUCUCUGCCACAGAUGAAGACUGAUCAAAAUUAGCAUCAACACAUAAUCCACUUGAAUCACCAGUUGUCAUAAUCCCGGACCCAAAGAUGGUAAUAUCAUUAUCAUCACAUGGUUUCAUUGGGAGGAACUCCAAAGAAAUCAACCGCGAAUCUGAGUUGUAAAGUGACCAAUUGUGAAGCAUUCUUCGAGAAAGCUCAUCAGGAUUAAUUGCAUCAAAGAUUAAAUACUCAUCAUUUUGCUCCUCACUGGGCUUGUAAUAUGCAGGCAGAGGAUAGUCAUCAACAAUUUCAUCUUCAUUGAUUUUACUGCAGAACUUGCUUGAUGAAGCAACUCUCCUCUGAGUUUUAUUAUGUUUCGUUGAUUGCCAAUUCUCCUCUUCCUGCAACAGCCUUGCCAAUUUCAUAUCUUUAUCUUCUUCACCUCCAGAAGCAGAUGAACUAGACUGAUUGUUUUGCUCUUCUUCUUCACUGCUGGAUGCACUGGUUUCCAGGUAAUUAAACUCCCUUGCUUCCUAGUUUCAUCCAGCAGUGCAAGGAGCACAGGCAAGUUCUCAAAGAUCUGAUCAUUUUUUUUUGGAUGUCUCAUCUAAACCGAUGAGUUGAUUGUAUAUGAAUUCAACCUGUGAGAUUAUAAAUUCCCUCAUAGAUGUCCUGUGAGGAAAAUUCUUGCUAUCACUCAUGGAACGAACAACUCCUGCAAGCAAUUCAUCGACAGUCUGAUCAGGGUUCCCUCCACAAGAACUUGAAAGUUUUUUAUAGACCUCCACAGAGGCACGAGCCUUUUCAUAGAAAAGGUUAUAUAGUAUUUUAUAACUAUUAGCAGGUUUAACACAAUCAUAGUCUGCAGUGACAGUUGAAAUCCAAAAUACCGGUGAGCCUUCCUCAUAUCCAGAUAUUGCCCAAGAUUCAACUCGUCCGAAAUCUUCACAUCUAACAACAUUUUUCAAGAGGCAAUAUAAGACCUGAAACGAACAAGUUUCCAACUUCCAACAUUUCAACAGACUUUAGGUUUCCACAAGCAUCAUGAAAGGCAAUUCUGUUAGCCUUCGAUUUGGUCUAACGUCAUCCUUUCUAGCGGUCAAGCUUAUUGCAUCCUCUUCAUUUUCUGCAACAACUUCUUCCCUUGUGCUUUCCACAAAAGAUGCACUUCCAGAGAAGGAAAGAGAUUUAUCCAUGAUAUCCAUACAUGCAGCAGCUCUCUUUGGCAUUUUCCAAGAAUUGGAUGCUUUUUCACUAUUUUCAUGUCUACUUCUCUUUUCUUCUUUCAUAAAAAUACUCAUAAACUUUACUCAAAUUAUCAAAAAAAAAAAAGAAAAAAAUCAUAUAGUUAAUUUUUCUUCUUCUUUACUCCAUUAUUCAAUGGGAGUAUAAUAAAUUAGGAAAAAGGAGAAAUUAAGAAGAAAAUUAGGGUGAUUAUUGCAAUGAGAAGAACUCAGGCAAGUGCUUAUUUCAGAUACAUGCGUGGCAUUCAUUAAUUUGACCAAAAAUAAAUGAAUUUGUUUGUAUUUUAAUCAAAAUCGAGGGACAUCAACAAAAUUUUUCCACUCCAGGUAUUUAUCAUUUUCUCGUUAAGAAAAAAAAAUUGCAUAAAAUUAAGAAACCAGUAGUCACUAAACGAGAGAAACAGAGUAAGGAGAGUUCAAAUUUCAAAAGAUAGAACCCAAAGAAGAAACCCUAGCAACGAUCCCAGAAGAAGAAGAAGAUGAUGAUGAUGAUGAAGACACAGCCAUGCCCAACGUUAAGCACAACCCUAAAACAAAACAAAACAAAAGACAACUCUUCGGACUCGAGCGAUGCCUCUGACUCUGACUCGGAUUCUGUCUCAGAAGACGAAGCAAAACAGAACAUGGAGCUUCAAAACUAGAGUAUCAUCUAUCCAAUGAACCUCCAAAUUAUGACACCCAUGUUCAAGUAACUUCAAUACGCAUACUUAUUCUGUGAUUUUGUGGAUACCCAUUUGCUUGUUCUUUCUUAAUUGGGUUGCGAUAAAAAUGGCUUUUUUUUCUUCAGUACAUAAAAGUUUUGAGAAAAAUGGGUGAGAUAGAGAAGCUGAGACAAGCUAGGGAAGCGAUGAAAGAGAUUAUUUCCAUUGAUUCCUGCUAAGUGGCAAGAAUGGGCGAGAGAUGAAGCCUCUAUUUCAACUGGGUAUCUGUCAUUUCCUUUUUGCAGUGGUUUUCGAUUUUUUGAACAAAUAUUUUUUUUGCUUAGAGAUAUAGAUGUUUAUGUUCGUUAUUUGCUAAUGUAAAAAGGAACAAAACCUGCUUAAAAGGUAUGAAAAAGUGAACCAAUUUGAAGAAGGGAAUACUUAUAGUGGAGUUCUAUUCUUUGGGGUUUAAUUGAUGGGAGAAGAAACAGCUUAUAUGUUUACAGAAUUAGACAUUUGAUCGCUGAGUUAGUUGAGGAAGAUAUUUAAGGGAGAAUUGUGUGGGAUGUACCCCAUUCCCUUCAAAAUACCCAAUAUAUACCUAAAAUUAUAACACUCUUAAAUUUUACACAUAUAUACUCUAAAAAAUUAGAGAAAGUACAAAAAUAACCACAACUAAAUCCUCAUAAAACUAAACCCAACUCCUCGAAGUCGGGUAAAUGGUCUAGAAUACUCGACUUCAACCAAACCAUACACAAUUAAUAAUUCAGCAUAAAUUCUCGACUUUUUCAUGUUAGUCGGGUAAGUAGUCGAGAAUACUCGACUUCAAUUGAAAUAAAAAAUUAUCUGAAAAAUUCUUAAUUUUUUCAAGUAAGUCGAGUAAAGAGUCGAGAAUACCCGACUUUAAUUUAACCUUACCCAAUAUUCAUUCAGCAAAAAUUCCUGACUUUUCAUUGAAGUUUGGUAAUUGGUUGAGAAUACUCGACUUAAAUUGAAAUGAAAAUUUUCCUUUUAAUUAAGUCGGGUAAAAAGUCGAGUAUACUUGACUUUGGUUGUGUUAUUAUAUAGAAGUCAUGAGAGAAAGCAAACGUAAAUAGAUGAUUUUUUAAGGUUAUUUUUGACUUUUUACACUUUUUGGAGGUAUAUGUAUGUAAUAGGGUAUAGAUUUGGCAUUUAAGGACAAAUGGGGUAUAUUUAAAUAAAAAACCCGAUAUUUAAUCACAAUGUCUGAUGUUGUUUCUGUUGGCCUCAGCUAAUUGUUAAGAUUUCAUACUUUCAUUCAACAAUGCAAUAGACUUUGGUUGGGUCCACCUUAGUUGGGUGUUUUGAGGAACCAAGAGUGUCUUGAGAAAACUUGGGUGGAGUGCGGAUCAUUUUCAGGAUUCAGUUUCCAAGAAAGCAAAAACGAAGUUGAAAAAUCAAAUAAUGACAGAAACAAAAUAAUAAAUCAAAACGAUUAAUUGAUUGUUUUCAUGUGUGUUAAUCAAUUAAUACAAAGAUUAAUUAUCAAUUAAUCAAUGCAUAAAUAUUGUUGACUUAAUUUUUGUCAAUCAAUCAAAUUUUCUAAUCACAAUUGUAUCGUUUCUGCAACAUCUUUCUCUCACAAGGUAAUAGGUUGUAGUAUUUCAUACCAAAUUAAAACUUGCCCAUGUUACCGAUGAAAAUCAUGAUAACAUUAUUAGAGAGCUUUUUUUUUUCUUUUUUCCCUUACCCUUUUUUCUGUUUUGUCCUUUUGUUUGAUUGGGCGUAAUGAAACAGAUAUAACAAGGGACCAAGCAUGACCUAUAUAUAUAUUCAACAAGCAAGGAAACAAGGGAUUGAAUUUGAUGUGUCACAGCACAAUAAGUUAAAUCUUAAAUUUGGACAGACAAGACAAAUAUAGAAGCAUCUAAUCCACCAAAGGAUAGACAUGGGACUUGACAUGAAAAUAAAUACAGACACAAACAUAAACAUUUACUCCUCCAAUGAUUGUUUCAAUAUCUUUAUCCUUGAUAUUUGCUCACUUUUAUAAAAUAUAAAUCUGCUGGAAAAUUUUGUGUACCUUAAACAGUCUUCUGACUUAUGAGAAAAAAACUAUUUUAAAAAAAAUAUUGCAGAGAAAAAUAAAAAAAAAACUGCUAAAGAGACAAAAUAAUGUCAGAAUGCUGACCAAAAUAAUGUUAAAAUUAACCCGUUAAUGUGUUGACAAUUGAGUGAUUAUUAUUAACUUAAGUUUGUUUAAUUGUCAAUUGAGUGAUUAUUAGGCCGAAUUGAUAAAGAACUUUUAAUAAUAUAUGAAAUCUCUUUUUUCAUCAAUCAUGUCUCAAAAUGGUUGGCGAGUAAGCAAUGUUUGGCUUGUCCAACUGCAUUGUCGUGGCCUUGAUAUUUUAACCUAAUAAUGCAAUGAGGUGAUGAUCUCAUUUGCUUUAUCUAUAAGUUAUCCCGAUUUAAUUUAAAACAGAUGUUUCAUUCCCUGUUCUUUGAAUUUUAAAAGUUUUUACUGUAUGUACAGCAAUUAUAAAUUUAAUUUGCGGUUUAAUCGUUAAGCAUGAAUAAUGAUAUGAUCUAACAUACAACUUUAUGUUUAGAGUGAAGUACCCAUAUUUAAAGGUUCAAUAAUAUAUGAAAUCUAUUUUUUCCUUCAAUAAAAAUAUAUAUCUCCCACGUAUAAUUUUAAGUGAGACGAACGUAACAUUUUCUCCCAUAUACAUCCAAUUUGAAAUAAAUCAAUGGUGAUAGUGAUAUUAUUAUGAGAGUAAAAUUACGAAACACAUGACAUGAUUUUAUUAAAUAAUAGUACCUUUAAAUCUCUGUCAUGGUCAAAAAAAAAAUUUGUCACUUUCUUUUAUGUCAAUAAAAAUUAGCUUUUUUUUUUCUCUUUUUUCUCUUUAAAAGAAGAGAAUAACAAUGUUUUAGAUCGUUGUUUACAAUACAUGGAUAAACUGGGUAAUUAGUUAAAGACCUGUAAACCAAAAAUGGAUUUAUGUAUUCAUCUUAUCUCCACAUUAUAUGUUGAUGCUUUCAUUUCUACUCGUCCUUUAGUUUCUUCUCAAUGCACAGGCCAGGAUAGGUGGAACAACAUUUCCAAUGUGCUAUGCUUGUGUUGGAUGUUAUCAACAAUCUUGUAGCCAUCCGAAAAACCCUACGUGACGAGGAAGUAAGAUUAAUUUAAAAGUAUAAUCACAAGUGAUGCAAAUAGUAAUAAAAUCUAAACAAUUAAGAAGUUUUACAGUCAAACUUCUAAGAAUGGAGGUUUGUUCAUUGGUUUUAAAACUUAUUUUGUAUAUUCUAAUUUUUCAUUUAAACAAUUACACAAAUUUUGAUCCAGUGCUGAUUACAAUCUUGUAAGAAAAAAAGCACAAAUCUUAGAUCAGCACUAAAUCCAAAUCUCAAUUCCAAAUAUCAAAAUAGCAAUAAGACUUACUCGAGAUCAAUCGCAUACUCACGAACUUUCACCGAUUGUAUCUCUAAUUGUUAUUGCACGGAAAGGAGCGCCAUUUGGUAACUUGGCAUUAAGCUCAAGACCGGCAAAGACGUGCAUUGGUUCUAGCCAUUCCGGCAUUGUUUCCUCAAGUGAAGCUGCCCAUAUGAAUGCUUGUUUAGGACAUGGAAACACAUCGUAUGCUGCUGCUUCCAAUGCAUCGACCUCGCCUAUAAUAACAACAAUAAAUAGAUGAAUAAUCUAAUCGGAGGUGAUUGUACAUAUACCGACAAUAGGGUUUAUUUUAACUAUGACACAAUUGCACAACUAAUUCCCAGACGAAGGCUCAAUUUAGGACUGGUUAGGCAAUUAAAAAGUGUUUCGUAAGGACUUUCAAUUAUGAUUUGGAAGUUAAAGAUAAUUUUACUCAAUUGUUUGAUGAAAUUGUAUUAGAUCUUGGCCAGGACUUGACUGAGUGUUUUCAAUCAGCUUUCUUUGGCUAGUCACUCAAGUUUAAACCCUGUAAGUGGGAUGAACCAAAGAAAUUGAUUCAGGCUUUUUGUACCACCCCACAACUUACUAUUUAUUCAAACAUAUUUACUUUAAAAGUCAGGGUAUCUUGAUAGGCACCCCUCUAUGUUAAGUUAAAUGAAUAUCGGUGGGUGAGGUUUAUAAUAAUAGACAUCAAUUACAUACCACAGCUUCUUUAUGGACAUGCAAUCCAUCGGUCGUAGCAGAACUAGCUGACAGCGCCUGCAGGGCAUAUGCAAUUAUACUUUGAUUAGUGUUCAUGAAGCUAAAGCAGUGUAAAUAACAGAUCAUGGCUUAAUUAAUUAAUUACCUGAAGGUGGUUAAAUAAUUGAGAAUGAAAUUAUAUUAUUAAGCAAAGACAUAAGCUAAAUUACCCCAUUUAUCUGUUUGAAAUCUCAUCUUGAGAGCAAAUGGCGGCACUGACGAGGCUUGCUCAAUUUCGGCCUGCAUGGCUGCAUGUCUGAUAAGAGUGGAAACAUAAUGCCUUUAGCUAAAUCGUAGAAUGUUAAAUCUGAUGCUACUGAAUAUGGAGAGUGAUUCAUAUACACGGUCUUCACGAAUAUAUAGUUGUUAAUUACAGGAGAAGUUGCAAUAUGAAGUUAAUUUGAAAUUUAUAUUUCUCACCUCGAAUAAUUUCUGGUAAAUCGCUGAUUCGAUAAAGUCAAACUUUCUUUAUGAUCAUCAUCUUCUUCUUGGUCUUCACCUUCCGAUAUUCCUAUUUCUGAUGUUUCUCCACAUUUUCUUCCUCUUUUAACAGCUUUCAUUGAAGCUUUUGACAGAAAUAUCAUUGUGAGAAGAGUAUUUCUAAAGUUUACAACUUGAAAAUGAGACCUUAUGUGAUAUGUACAUGAAGGAUAGAGAACAUGCCAAUAUUUAUAAGAAACAAUGUGGUGGUUUUAAAGAAACUAAAUAAAGUUUAUUAUUUAAUAAAAAGUCAAAUACAAAUCCCGAAGAAUCCGCUGUAUAAUAUGAUAAAAUCUAGAAAACGGAGGCAUCUGUAUGGCAACAUCGUUACUUUGUAUGACUGGAUUAUUUUUAUAAAUUUUUUAUCCAAAGAAACUAAAUAAAGUUUAUUAUUUAAUAAAACAUUAAAUACAAAUCCCGAAAAAUCCGCUAUAUAAUCUGACAGAAUCUAGAAAACGGAGGCACAUGCAUGGCAAUAUCAUUACUUUGUACGAUUGGAUUAUUUUUAUAAAUUUUUAUCCAAAGAAACUAAAUAAAGUUUAUUAUUUAAUAAAAAGUCAAAUACAAAUCCUGAAGAAUCUGCUGUGUAAUCUGACAGAAUCUAGAAAAUGGAGGCACAUAUAUGGCAAUAUCAUUACUUUCUACGACUGGAUUAUUUUACAAAUUUUUUUCUAAUCCCUUAUUUGAUGCUUGUAAAUCAAUAUUUAAAUAUAUAGUUAUUUGAUUUUAACUAUUAAUGUCAAUGUAGGAAUAUAUAUUUAUAUUGAACUAAUAAAACAAUACUAUAAAGACAUUUGAAUAAACUUAAUUAUGGAUUUUGAAUUCAUGAUGUAAGGUAGCAUUUGUUUUUUAAUCUAAAAUUUGAGUGAGUUUGAAUUUAGCUGAAAUCUGAAUAAGUUUGAAUUUUGUAUGUCUAAAUAAAUGACAUGUUUGUUUUCUCUUUUUCGAUAUAUAAUUAUAAGUGGCAUUUUUUUUAAUAAAUCAAAAACAUAUGAAAUAUGAUUAUUUAACAUUUAUGUUUUUGUAAGAAUUAUUUAUACUUAUUAUAAAUUUUAAGAGUUAAAUACGUGCACAUUACAAUUAAAAUCAAACAUACAUAGAAUUGAGUAAUUGAUCUUUAAAUAAAAAUAUUAUUACAUUACUCCAAAUACAAAAUUGAUUCAAACUUAUUAUACUUAUUAAAAUGUGAAUAAAUUUAAUUUUAAUUUUAUAAUUUAAAUAAUCUUUUUUACCAUUUAAGAUUGUAAAAGCCCAUUCGCCCAUACCUAGUCUUUAUUAGUUGUACAUAAAUGUAAAGGCCCAUAUGUUCUUGAGAAGUGUUAAGUGAAUGUAUAUGUGUAAUGUCACUAAAUUCAAGCCAGAGUUAUAACUGUUGGCAGAUUUGUACAAUCCUUUUAAAAUCGUUCUCUAAUUAUAUUAAAAGACAAAAUAAAUCUAAUUAAAUUCUUAUAUUUUUCUCUCUCUAUAAAUUUCUCUUUCUAAUGGGAGAAAGAUAUCUACACCCCCAAAUUUUUGGAAAAUGGUCAUCAACACCUCUAAGUUUUCAAAGAGGGACACCAAGACUCCUUUUUGACGAUUAUAUCAUUUAUCUCUAUUAUCUCAAAAGAAUUAACUCUAAUAUUUUACAAUAAAUAGAAAUAUGAUAUUAAAAUAAAUAUAAUAAUAUAUACAUUUUAAAAUAAUUUCAAUUUUUAAAAAAUAUUUUAAUAUUUUAUAAUCUAUUAGAUAUAUUUUAUUAUAUUAAAGUAAAUUUUAUGAUAAAUAGAAUCAUAAUAUUAAAAUAAAUGUAUUAAAAUUAAAAUUAUAUUGAAUAUUACGUAAAAUAAUAAUUUUAAAAAUAUUAGUAUGUGAGAAUAUUUUUAAUUGUAGAACGUAUUUAAUGCAAAUAUAUAUUUAAAAUCUUUACAAUAAAUAAAAAUAUAUUAUUAAAAUAAAUAUAAUAAUUUACAUAUUAAAAUUUAUUAAAAUAUGAAAUAUUUUAAUAUUGUUAGUCUACUGCAUAGAUUAUAUUAUUUAUAUGGCAUUGACAUUUACUAAAAAUUUUAAAGUCAAUUUUUUAGAAUAAUAGAGAUAAAUGGUAUAAUGGUCAAAAGGAGGUCUUGGUGUCUCUCCUUAAAAGCUUGGGGGUGUUGAUGACCAUUUCUCCAAAUCUUGGGGGUGUAGAUGUCCUUUUUCCUUUUCUAAUUCAUUACCCCCACACAACUACACCAAAGUCUUAAAUUUUUUUUUUAAAGUCUUUUAUAUUUUUUUUGUUUUCUCUCAAACACUUUGUAUAUUACAUAAUAGUUAUUUGAGUCCAUUUUUAGUUCUACUCAAUUGAAGUAUAUAGAAUUUUCUUUUUAAUUAAAUAUAUAUGAUUUAAACUUUCAAAAAUUUGUAAAACAAUAUCAAUAAUAGGAAGUCUGUAGAAGAAACUAACUAUUUUUUAAUAAAAAAGAAACUGCAAUUUUAAAAAAGAGUUUUUGAAAAAUUAAAAUAAGUUUUGACAGAAAGGGGGGCUUGAGAAAAAAAAAUUACAAGGUGCUAUUAGUCCCACUCUUCAAGCAAAGAUACACAGACCUUUUCUCCUCCGAAUAAAUUUUGCGGUGAAUUUUUAUUGUUGGCUAAUAACGUUGAUAUGAGUGUGAAUAUAAAAAGGAGAAAACUUAUAAUAAAGGAUUAUAUGAACUAUGUUUUAAAGAGAAACAUAUACGAGCUAGUGAGAUAAAUUGAAGAGGUUACGUAUCAUCAAUCUAGUUACUUCAGAAAAUAUGGCCCAAUGUCUUCAGAUGGGUUAGUGUUACUGUGUUAGUGUGUUACUAAGAAAUAGGCCGAAGUUGUAAAAAUAAAAAAUAAAAAUAGUAGUUUUUCAUAUUAAAAGAGAACAGUUAUUUCACAGACCACAUGAAUAUCUCUAUGGGGUUGAUGCUUUCAUUUCUACAACUUCCUUUAGUUUUCUCCCCAGUGCAAACGCCAGAGGAGGUGGAACAGCAUUUCCAAUCUGCCGAUGAUGUGUUGGAUGUCACCAACAAAUUUAUAGCUAUCGGAGAAACCCUGCGGGAAUCAAGAGAGCAGGGUAACAUGACAGCAGAAACAGUUGGCAAAAUUUAUCUUGUUUGAUUCAAUAAUUAGCUUGUCAAGUUAAAAGUGUCACCGGUGCUGCAUGAAAAUUAUUUUUUGUCAUUCUGGUUUUUCAUCAUUCCAACUAACUGCAGAUUUUUACAUAUAUAGCCAAAAAGACUUACUUGUGAUCGAGCACACUCACGAACUGUGAUUAUUCUAUCCUGAUUUGGGUGAAAACAGGUUCCGACCAUACCCAUCGGAUGAGGAUCAGUAACGGAGGUUGGAAAAUUUCCUUCCCAGUCCAACCUUCCGAACAAACCCUUCCAUUGAUUGUGCUUUUCAGCUGUAUUGGGUAAGCACCAGGGUAUUAAAUCUACAACCUAUCUGUUAGACAAUCGAACCUGGAGGGGGAAUUUGAAAAGGAAAAUGUUUAAAACCAAAGCAAUUAUGAAAUGAUAAUUUCAGUUAGAUCUAAAAGAAAAACUAUACACCUUCUCACUAGGAAGAACACGCCAAUCGGAACCAGGCUGUUUUGGGAUCUUUUGACACCUAAUAAGGUUCAGCUCACUCAUUGCCUUUGAUAUAUGAUCAUUUAAGACCAGCAUAUCUCCUCUGAUUUUCUUUUGAAACCAUAACACAGGUUCACUUUUAUACUGCGCGGUAGGAAAAUACAAGAAACAAGACCUUUGGUAGAAGGAACAACAAUAAAGAUAAAAUGAGCAUCACAGACAGGUGAAGAAAAUCCCACUUCCAUGGUUGUUACAGAAGCCCCAUUGCCAACAGCUGGGAGGUCUCCAAUUGUAUCUCUAACUGUUAUUGCACGAAAAGGAGCACCAUUUGCUGUGCUUCGAACAGCAGCAUAAUGGGAAUUUCUAGCUAACUUGACCUUUAGCUCAGGGCCAGUGAACACAUGCAUUGGCGCGGGCCAUUCUGGAAGGGUUUCCUCAGGUGAUGCUUCCUAUAUGAAUGCACGUUUAUGUUGGGAAAAUAUGCUCUUUAAAAGCAUAUGUAUUUAUUUAAUUGUAAUAAACAAUUUUUCUGAUUAAUAAAAUAAAUGAGGUAUUUUAUUCAAAUAUCUUAAUUACAUUAAUAUUUGUAUUAAAGUGCAUUUAAUCAUAUUAUAUGUAUUUAUGUGAUCACCAUGUGGAUUCAUAGAAGACAUAAAUACAAGUUAUCUUAUGAUUAAAUAAAUUUAGUUCGUAGUUGAUAAAUAAAGUUGGGCACUUUAUUUAGGUAUAGACUGUAAUAAAUUCAUUAAAUGAUUUGUCUUAAUCAUGUAUGAAUUUAUUGAUGUAGUACGACUACAUUGAACAGGAUCACAUAUGAGAUUUAAUUAACUUUGUAAUAACUGUCAGACUUAUUAAAUCUCAUAGGCGUUGAUUUUACUGUAAUCUUAAUCUUGAGUUAAUUAUGAUUUCAUGAUUGUGAUUGUUAUUUCAUUUGAGUUACCAAUGGGCACAACACAUCCUUGUGGUCAAGAUUACCCGGUAUCUUGGUGGGAGCAAUUAUGAGUAUUGGAGUUAUGGAUUAACAAUAUAGAAUUUGUACAACACAUCUCUUGAUAGGUUUUCGGUACUUGAUCAUAGAAUUCUCUGGCCAGAGUGUGUCAACAUAUUUAGUAUGUUGAAAAUGAUCAUUAGAGAAAACCAGUAAGGAUCAAGGAAUAAGAUGUUAUUAAAUUGAUUGGACAGUUGAGAUAUCAAUUUAAUUAACGAUGUGGUACAAAGGAUUGUGCAGUAAAGAAAUCAAUGUGGCUUAGGACGAAUUAUUAUUUGAACAUACAAUUAUGGAAGUCAGUUCCAAUCUUUUAGUGGAGUAGAUUUGGAAUUAAAUAAUUUGGCUAGUUUAAUUACAGGCCUAAUUAUUGUAGCCACUAUUGUAUGUUCCCAAAUGAUCCCCGGGUUAGCUCAUUUAAUUGAUUGCACCACUACUGGACUAAUAAGCAAGAUAACUAGCUAUUUGGGUCAAAAGCCUAAAUAUAUCAUUUAGUGGGAGGCUCCAUUUAAUAAGCUUAUGUAUAAGGGGCCUCAUGUUAUUUUACAUGGUGGGUCCCCUACAAAAUAAAAAGGAACGUGAGUUUUAUUUUGGGCAUUAUUUGGAGCCUAGGAUUUUCACUAAAGGGAGAUAUAUAAGGCUUAUUUUCUCUAAAAAAAAAAAAAAGACAAGCCACUUUAUACAAAUCAGAGAAUAAGAUUUUUCUCUCUAUUGUUGAGAGAAAAAUUUUCUCGUGCUAGUUGCUUUGGUAGUGAUAAAGGCGCCCACACGUCAAGUGCAGAUCGAACCUGAGUCAUAACCUGGAAGAUCAUUGGUGACAGUUCGUGAUCUAACAAGCGUGGUGGUGACGGAUCGUGAUCUAACAGGAGUGGUGGUGGCAGAUCGUGAUCUAGGAGCCUAAAUCACUUCAGUGGAAAAGCCAACUCGGAUUUUCAAGGUACGAUUUCUAGAAUACGAAUUCUUAUAUUUUAUAUGAGAGCGAUCUUCAAAAGGUUUUAUAAAAAUUAAAAAACCUAAUUUUUCCCCACAGUUUACGAGACUGAGACAUGCCAUAUGCCCUUGCUUGCAGGACACCAAAUCUCACCUACAACAACAAAUUAGAUGAAUAAUUUAUAUAAGCUACAUGAUACUUUCACAAUUUUCCGAUUAAAUUGACUAAUUAAAUGGAGAAACAAAUUUAGGGAAUUUUGAUAGGCACCCCUCUAUCAAGUUAUGAGUAAAUCAAAAAUGGUAUCUACCUGAUAACCCAUCUGAAGGAGAGAAGCCAGAGUUAAGCGAAAUGUUUGCCCUUUGUUAAAUGAUGUAAAGUUCCUUACAUUCUCCAGAAGGAAAAAUCUGGGGCGGAAAUAAUCAGCAAAAGACAACGAUGCUAAGAUCAUUUCACAUUGAACUUUGCUCCAAGAGCCUUGAUUAAACCUAUUCAUUCCAGAAAAUCCCUGGAAAUAACAAAGAACCAAUAGCUAAACUUUAUAGGUCUAUUGUACACAAUUACUGUUAGAAUUGCUUACAAAAUAAAUCCUAGAAGUAGGCUGGAGGAUAGAUCGAUGUACCUGACAAGGAGGCCCUCCACUGAUGAAAUCCACUUGUCUUGGCUGAGGCAAAUUCUUAAUUGUCUCUGUUUGUGGGAUAUGCUUCGACGAAGACCAACAGUGAUGAGCAGACAUCUGGUAGCAGGGUUCCUCGAAUAGGUAUAUCUUCUAAGAGUCUAGUAGCCGGGGGGGCAGGAGCAGGAAUAUCCUACUCGUCCGCGAGUACGUCAUCUACGAGGCCAAUCUCCUGCUGGAAGCAUAAAGCCAUUCCUAUUAAGGGUUGAGUCGAGGAGUCCCAGUUAACGACAGUUGGCGAGACAUGCUCGCCAGUCCAAGAAUCAAGGCACGAAGGCCACGCAACCACCCACGACUACAGAAAUGAGGCAUCCACUUUCGAGAGGUAGGAGGAUAACGAGCGCGAAUGGAGGGAAGGCCUGAGUUCAGGAGGGGCCUAUAAAAAGGUAGCCAACGAAGGUAAAAGGGUUAGAAUUUUUUAGAUUAGAACUGAGAAAAAAAGAGAGAGCUCUACAGAAUUGAUACGCCAUAAGAUUUGUGGCUAGCAUUUCCAGGAACACAAAAACCUUCAUUUCUGACUUGAGCGUCGGAGGGUUUACACCGGGAAAACAACCGGCGUGCUCUGACCUGAUUCUGUGUACGCAGGGACUUCUGGAGAAGAAGCCUUACGAGGAGAUAUCCUUAUCGUAAUAGAGUUGAUCGAGCAGAGAUCCUGGUCGUGGUAGGAAGGGUAACCAGAAUCUCGCAUCAACAUUUUGGCACCGUCCGUGGGGAUCAGAUCAAAAAGCUUCUGUUGACAGCAAGAAGAGGAGCAAAGCAAGUGGAAAAACAAUGGAGGCGGGAGGAAGUAGUGCACAAGGGGGUGAUACGAGGCUUAACGAUUCCGUGACGCUGAGGGAGAUAACCAGUGAAGCACGGGAAAAAGUCAUGUUUGACCGGAUGGAACGAAUGGAAAAACAGAUGGAAACCCUAACAACCAUCCUGCAUGAGCUGCGGAGUGAAUGAAUGGGAACCCAGGAGGAAAGGUGAGAGGUGGUGGAGUGGCACCAGGUCACGAUAGUACGAGGAGAAGUCAAACCACCAGGAGAUUUGGAGGUGAGAGAGGUAACUUAUCUCUGCGGGGAGAAAUUCAUAGAGAGGAAGAGCAAUCCCCAGCAAGACAGAUUUUUGAUGAGGACGACGGGGUGGCGAAUGCCGAGGAAACAGAGCUCAGGCAACACUUACAUGAUGUAGAACAAGAGCGGGAUCAAGUUGCAACACGUGACCCUGGUCGCGCAGUGCAGCUGGAGGAGGAAGUGCGCAGACUAGUGCAGGUAAUUGAUGACAUGCAAGGAAGGAGCAGAGCUCCUGGUUGGAGGAUAAUGCUGGACGGAGAAUCACCGCUCGUGGCAGAAAUCAUGAGGGUAGUCAUUCCAAGAGAUUUUCGCCUCUCAGACCUUAGAUAUUCGGGACGAACUGAUCCGUUGGUGCACAUAGAGCGCUUCAACGAUAUAACCGGGGUGUAAGGAUUAUGUCAAGCCUAAAGGUGCAUGGUGUUCCCACUAUCCCUAGAGGGACACGCACGGGAGUGGUACAGAAAACUUCCUCGGGGGAGCAUUAAAACUUUCGAGCAGAUGUGCAAGGAAUUUGUAGAGCAGUUUCGUGGGGCAAUGGCACCAGAAGAUGACAUGAUGGAGUUGAAAAGCAUGAAGCAGGGGGAGCAAGAAACCCUUCAGAAAUUCAUCAAGAGGUUCCAUCGUGCUGUCCUCGAUUUGGGAGCCUUUAACCAUCCUCAGGCAAUAAGGGGAUUGAAAGAAUGGGUGAAAAUAGAAAGGCUGUGGUACAACUUGAGAAGCCCUGUUAUUCAGACGUAUGCAGCCACAUACGAGCAAGCUAAGAGGGUCAUAGAGAUUGAGGAAGAAAAGGCAGCACAAAUUAAGACAGACUAGCUAGAAGGGCUGGGAAAGAAAGAUAAGAGAGCAUUACCAGGGAAUGGGCCGAUCAGGAGGAGGGACCACCAGGCCUCAGGUAGUGGUGCAGGAGGUUGGGUAACCACUUACCAGCCUCAUCAAAGGCUAUCACAGUGUCAGUAUAGCAGGGUGCAACCUCCUCGCUCACCAGCUAGGGAGCCUUGGAGAAGGCAUGACUCGGCAUAUGGUGGUCUUCAUCCACACUCCGACGGUAGUAGAGGGAGUAGACCAGAAGCGCUGCCACUGCCUCCAACUCAGAACGGUGCUAAUAGAGAAAAGGCAGUGCACAUGAUCGACCAAAACCAGGACUAUGGGCAGUAUACUUCCUUGAAGUUGCUCCUGGACGAGGUGUACGAGGCCAUAAAGGACUGGGGACUACUGUACCUUCCUACCCUAAUAACAAAGCUACCCAGCAGGAAAGAUAGGGGACGCUAUUGUAAGUUCCAUGGCACUCAUGGCCAUACUACUACAGAAUGCAGAGAUUUUAAGACCCAGGUUGAAGAUUUGGUGAGAAAUCGGUACCUGGACGAGUUUAUAGAUGGGACUUUCCCAAUGGUGGCCUCGACAUGUGAAGGGGAGCAGAGUGACAGAAACUUGAGGCGCGAGAAGCCUACAGUAAGGGUGAUAGCUGGGGGCCCAACAUUGGCCGAAGAUUCCAACAGAUCGAGGAAGAAUUAUGCUAGAUACGCCAUGACUAGUAAAGAGGUAUUCCUUAACACCCCAGCAGCCAAACGAGUAAGAGUCAGGUAAGUGUCAAUCAUGUAGAUAGAUGAGGAUGAAGAAGGGAUUCUAUACCCCCACGAGGAUGCCUUAGUUAUCAAGGCCACUGUUGCUAGCAAGAAAUUUAACCGGAUACUGGUUGACACAUGGAGCUCAGUUGAUGUGUUGUUUAAGUCAAUUGUGGAGGAGAUGGGAAUAACAGACUUGAAGUUGGCGUACACCAAUACCUCCUUGAAGGGGUUUGGAGGAGGAAAGCUGGUCCCUCUGGGCGUGGUCGAGCUACUUAUCACGAUUGGGAGCUCCCCAACAAAAAGGACUAUGAUAUUGGACUUUGUGGUGGUGGAUGAAGAAGGUCAUUACAAGAUAAUCCUAGGUCGACCAUUUCUGAGGAUGAGCAAAGUGGUACCGUCCAACCAUUAUCUAGCUCUCAAGUACUAGGUGAAUGGGGUAGUUACAGUGGUACGAAGAGACUAGAGAAUCGCACGAAGCUGUUACUCCUUGGCAGUAAGGGAAGCAAUGCAGAUUACAUCCUUUGAUACUUGAGUAGAGACCAAAAUUGGCAGACAGGAGCCCGUAGAGGAACUAGAGACAGUAAGCUUGUAGCAGGAUGACCCUGGAAAAACAGUCCGAAUCGGGUCGAGACUUAAAGAUGAGCAGAAGCAGGAGCCGGUCCAUUACUUACGAGCACAUGCAAAUGUGUUUGCUUGGACACACGAAGACAUGCUGGGAAUCGACCCUGAGGUCGCAUGCCAUAGGUUGGCAAUAAAAAAGGGUGCUCGGGCAAUAAGGCAGAAAAGAAGAUGCUUCAACCAGGAGAGAUAUGAGGCUAUAAACGGUGAAGUGGAGAAACUCUUGAAGGCAGGGUUUAUUCGGGAAGUCAACUAUCCGGAGUGGAUAUCGAAUGUGGUAUUAGUAAAAAAGGCCAAUGGCAAGUGGAGGAUGUGUGUGGAUUUCACGGAUCUCAAUAAGGCAUGCCCGAAAGACAGCUUUCCCUUACCAAAGAUCGACCAGCUUGUAGACUCAACAGCUGGACAUGGCCUGCUCAGCUUCAUGGACGCGUUUUCGGGAUACAACCAAAUCCCCAUGUUCGAGCAGGAUGAGGAGAGCACGGCAUUUAUUACUAACCAGGGUCUGUUCUGUUACAGGGUAAUGCCGUUUGGUCUUAAAAAUGUGGGGGCCACAUACCAGAGACUGGUGAACAAAGUCUUUAAGCCGUUGAUUGGGAGAACAAUGGAGAUGUACGUGGAAGACAUGAUAACUAAGUCGAAAAUCCCGAAGGAACAUGUCGAGCACCUUGAGGAGACAUUCGCGCUUUUGAGGAAGUACAAGAUGAAGCUCAACCCGGAAAAGUGUGCUUUUGGGGUCGAGUUAGGGAAAUUCCUCGGAUUCAUGGUGAGUCAUAGGGGGAUCGAGGGAAAUCCCGAGAAGAUCUAGGCGAUCGUUCAGAUGAGGUCUCCUCGUAACCUGAAGGAGAUGCAGAGCCUUACGGGGAGGCUGGCAACAUUGAGCCGAUUCAUAUCCAAAGCUACAGAUAAGUGUCAGACAUUCUUUCAAGUGAUAAGGAGAGGGAAGAAAACAGAAUGGACCCCAGAAUACGAAGAGGCCUUUCAGAGCUUGAAGCAAUACUUGCAGCAAGCACCCCUACUGUCCACACCAAGGGAUGGGGACAAGUUAUCAUUGUAUUUGGCGGUAUCAGAUCGUGCCACAAGUUAUGUUCUGGUGAGAGAGGAAGAAGGGGUUCAGUAUCCGAUAUACUACACCAGCAAGGCCCUGCUCGACGCUGAGACCCGACACCCACCGUUGGAGAAAUGGGCACUCGCUCUUGUGGUCGCUGCUCGAAAGCUGAGACCGUACUUUCAAGCAUUCCCCGUCUCGAUAAUAACAAACCAGCCGUUGAGUUAAACCCUACACAAGCCGGAUGCCUCUGGUCGGCUCGUGAAGUGGGCUAUAGAGCUGAGCUAGUUCGACAUUGAUUACAAACCCCGAGCAGCGAUAAGGCGCAAGCAAUGGCCGAUUUCGUAGUAGAGUUUGCAGAGCCUGAAAUAUGUUUGGACCAGCUGGAUAUUGCUACAAACAGCAGCGAAGCCUGAGUAUGGCAGAUGUCUGUAGAUGGGUCAUCAGGGGAGCAGGGAUUAGGAGCAGGAAUUGUCUUGGAAGGCCCAGAGGGGGAGGAGAUCUCUUAUGCUGUAAAGUUAGAAUUCACAGCCACAAAUAACCAGGUAGAGUACAAAGCCUUGAUAGCAGGUUUGGAAUUGGCUAAGGUUGUGAAAGCAGAUAGAGUGAAGAUCAUAACUGAUUCCCAGCUAGUUGCGAAUCAUGUCAGUGAAAGAUUUUAACCGAGAGAGGAGAAGAUGGAGUAGUACCUGAAGAUAGUCAGGCAGAUGAUGGGGAAAUUCGAAGCGGUAGAGGUGAUACAAAUCCCCAGGGAGCAGAAUAGUCGAGCAGAUAUUUUGGCCAGGAUGGCAGCAGUAGCGGAUCCAAAAAUACCGAAGUCGAUCCCUCUGGAGGUGAAGUCCAGCCCGAGCAUCGAGCAGAAUCUGAAGGUGCUGAGGAUAGAACAAAAAUACUCGUGGAUGGAUCCGAUAAUUUCAUACCUUAGAGACGGGGUAUUACCACCAGACAAGCUGCGAGCUCAGAAGAUUAGAGCCUAGGCCUCAAGAUAAACGAUGAUUGAUGGGGUGCUAUAUCGGCGAGGGUAUACGCUACCGUUCCUUCGGUGUUUGGAUGAGGACGACGCGGACUACAUACUGAGAGAAAUACAUGAAGGAAUUUGUGGAAACCAUUCUGGUGGAAGGUCCCUAGCCCACAAGGUUCUAAGGCAGAGAUAUUUCUGGCCGACAAUGCACUAGGAUGCGCAUGAGAAGACCAGGAAUUGUGUAAGCUGCCAGAGUUUUGCAAGUUUCUCCAAUCAACCACCAGAGAAGCUCACCUCAAUGGACUCCCCUUGGCCAUUUGCUCAAUGGGGAAUUGAUCUGAUCGGCCCGUUGCCAAAGGGACGAGGAGCAGUAACACAUGCAAUAGUUGCAAUAGACUACUUCACAAAGUGGAUAGAGGUAGAAGCCCUCAGCAGGAUCACAAAGAAGAAGACAACAGACUUCGUAUGGAGAAACCUGGUCUGUCGUUACGGGUCCCUUAUGCCUUGAUAACGGAUGAUGGCAGACAGUUUGAUAACCAUAACUUCAAGGAUUUCUACCAGAACCUCGGGAUAGAGUUGAAAUAUUGCUCGCCUGCUCACCCUUAGUCUAAUGGACAAGUAGAAGCAGCCAACAAGACGAUCAAGAGGCUUUUGAAAACCAGGCUUGGAGCAAAAAAGGGUGCAUGGGUUGAAGAGCUAUCAGGUGUUUUAUGGGCAUACAGGACAACCCACAAAACAGCAAUAGGAGAAACACCAUUCGCCUUGGCCUUCGGACAUGAGGCGGUCGUACAAGCCGAGAUAGGAACGACCACGCACCGGACAGAUCAUUUCGAUGAGCAGGAGAACAACGAGCAGAUGUGCCUGAAUCUGGAUUUGCUAACUGAGAAGAAGGACCAGACAUCGAAGCGAUCAGCCAUUUACCAGCAGAGGGUAGCUCGGUAUUAUAACCAGAUGGUGAAUGUACGACAGUUCAAAGUCGGAGAUUGGGUGCUGAGGAGAGUGAAUUAGAACACCAAAGACCCGACUCAAGGAGUGCUUGGACCGAAUUGGGAGGGGCCAUAUAGGGUCAAGCAGAUAGUGGGACCCGGAGCUUACAAGCUGAUUCGCACGGACGGCCACGAGGUGAAGUGCCCGUGGAACGCGGCACACCUUAGGAAAUAUUUCCAGUAAGACUUGUUCAUGUUUUAAAGUUAUUUCUGUUCGUGCUCGUUAUCAUUUAUUUUAUGUUAAAGCAAUCUCAUGUAAAUCGAAUUCAACAAUAAAUGAAUCGAUGAGGAAUUUCAGUCAAUUGUACCGCUAGAAAUAUUUCUAAGGCAUGCAAAGGCUCACCAGGUCUCAAACCCUGUUUAUGGCGAGACCAGAAGCCAAACGUGCCAAGAUCUGCUCGACCACGCGAAGGCAAGCAGAAUCCCAAGCAUUGAAGAAUUGUCUAAGGCAUGCAAAGGCUCACCAAGUCUCAAAACCUAUUUAUGGCGAGACCAGAAGCCAAGCGUGCCAGGAUCUGCUCGACCACGCGAAGGCGAGCAGACUCCCAAAUAUCGAAAAAUUUCUAAGGCAUGCAAAGGCUCACCAAGUCUCAAAGCCUGUUUAUGGCGAGACCAGAAGCCAAGCGUGCCAGGAUCUGCUCGACCACGCGAAGGCGAGCAGACUCCCAAAUAUCGAAAAAUUUCUAAGGCAUGCGAAGGCUUACUAGGUCUCAAAACCUGUUUAUGGCGAGACCAAAAGCCAAGCGUGCCAGGAUCUGCUCGACCACGCGAAGGCGAACAGAAUCCCAAGCAUUGAAGAAUUGUCCAAGGCAUGCAAAGGCUCACCAAGUCUCAAAGCCUGUUUAUGGCAAGACCAGAAGCCACGCGUGCUAGGAUCUGCUCAAUCACGCGAAGGCGAGCAGACUCCCAAAUAUCGAAAAAUUUCUAAGGCAUGCAAAGGCUCACUAAGUCUCAAAGCCUGUUUAUAGCGAGACCAGAAGCCAAGCGUGCCAAGAUCUGCUCGACCAUGCGAAGGCGAGCAGACUCCCAAAUAUCAAAAAAUUUCUAAGGCAUGCAAAGGCUCACCAAGUCUCAAAGUCUGACUAUGGCAAGACCAGAAGCCAAGCGUACCAGGAUCUGCCCGACCAAGCGAAGCCGAGCGGAAUCCCAAGGCAUGCAAAAAAUUAAGUCCGAAAGCCAGUCAUGUAGCAAGAACAUAUGAAAAGCUAGAACCUGCUCGACCCAGCGAAGGCGAGCAGACUCUCAAAUGGAAAAAUAACUCGUAAAUACAACACGAGAAAGCAAUCAAAAACAUUUUUAUUAAUUUGUCAAUAACUAGCAAAGUUGAUAAUAUUCACACACAUUGUUCAUUACAACACAAGAAACAUGUUUAAGAGGACAGCGGGUCAGUAAGUCGAGCACCAUCAGUUGGCUGGACCACCUCAGGUGCAGGGGGUAUCACCAGUUGCGUCCGGGGGGUGCUUGCCUCACCAACAUCAGCAGGGAUUGCACGAGGAGGAGAGUUUUCCUCCUCAACCAGAAUUGGCUCCACCUCUUCGACAUCCUCUUUUGCUGCCUCCUCGUCCAUGUGUUGAGCAACACCAGCUGCAAGGUCAUCCAUCUUCAAAUCAGGGUGCUGCUUCCCAAGGAUGGCCAUGAUGCAACGAUAGGAAUGUCAGAGUCCCUGGUCGUAUUGGUUGUCAGCCUCCUUCUCCAAGUUCUCGACCUGAACCCGGUGGGAAUCGCGGAAAGAUUCGCGCUGAGCCUCGUACAUAAUCUUCUGCCUUUGCAGAUCCUCCUUGACCUUAGUCAGCUCGUUCUCGAGAGUAAUGGUCUUUGCUUGAGCAAGAGAUUCUUGUUCUAUCAGCUUCAGAUUCUCGAGAUUCAGGUCUCCUGCUUUCUUCUCGGCAUCGUCAGCUCGGGUCAUUGCUGACUGAAUGUCCUCCUUCAUCUUCCGGUCAUAACGGCCGACCUUGGCCUUAUAGUAAGUGGUCAUGCAGCUGAGAUGGAAAGCGCUAUACUGUAUGGCCCCCACCAGCUCACCUAGGGUGCAGCCAUCAAAGUCCUCCAAGUCCUUCUUGCUCACGAGUUUAGAUAGCUCGUUGAGAUAAGGGGCCAAGUGCUCUGCUCGGUUGUUAGAUAAACGAGAUUUAGGCCCGACCGGAGGAGAAGAGGAAGCAGGAUCAGCGGCUGCUCCACUAGUUUCUUUGACUUUGGAAUGAAGAGGAGGUAGAGUCUUCAAGGGAGGAACCUGCUGCACAAUGUUCACCCGCUUCGCAGUGGGAGCGUCCUUGUUCUGGUCCCUCUUCGCAGUUUGAGGUCGAGGACGUUUCCGAGUCAGAGCUCCAAUCACAGCAUCCUCCAUCUUAUGGCCGGGGGGCACCAAACAAGACUCGAGUAGGUUAUAAGCAGUUAUUAGCUCUCGACUCAAGCAGAAAUUGGCCAGUACAGCCUCGACCUGUUUGAGCUGGUUAGGUUUGAGUAGGAAGUGAACACCCCAAGAACCUGCAAUACAAACAGACAUUUGGUUAGAGACAAACCAGUAAAGCGAGAACAAUUAUGGAUACAAGACAUCUAAAGUGAGCAGGCAACCUGGGACCACGAAAUGGGGUGGGACGCGAUAAUCCUUCCUGUCAAUCUGUGCAACUUGACUCCAGGGACCGCCAGUAAAAAAGAACUUUUUCUUCCAAUUCCCAACACCACCAGUAGGGAGGUCGGUUAUGGGUUUCCUGGUCUUAGUACUUGAUUGGAAGUAAUACCAGCCAGCAUCUUUGGGGCUACUUUUCAGCUGGUACAGAUGCUUCACCUCAUCAAUUGUGGGCUCACUUUGGCAACAUCUGUCCCACAAUAUGAAUAGACCAGAGAGUACUCUCCACCCGCUGGGGUUCAGCUGACCAGGAGCUAGAUUUAGCCCUUUAAGAAUCUGGGCAAAGUAGGGUUGCAAGGGACACCUCAGUCCAUACUUAAAACUCUCCAAAAAUAAGGUAACAUAUCCCCUAGGAGGCCGGCUAGGGGUAUCCUUCUUUCUUGGGAUCUUAAGAGGUAUUUCACCACGAAUACUAUACCUAAGCCGGAGGUCAGUGAGCGCGUCAAAUGUGGUCAUGCACGUAAUAUAAUCAAUAGCGUAAUCCCGCGAUAGGGCUCUACCCCCUACUGUACUCCGCCCUUCUGGUCGCGAUAUUCCCGAUGAGGAUACCUCACCAGAGUCACCCCCUCGAUCCUCAUUCAGGGUGUUUUCUGAGCCAAAAGAUCCCUCCUCACUACUAUUUCCACUCAAGGAGGCUGUUUGGGGGGACAUCCUCCUAGAACUAGUCCCAACACUAGACCUAAUGGGCUUCAAAGGGAUCCCGGGGUCAAAAGUAAGAUCGGUGAGCAGACUAGGCAGGAAGUCCAACUCAUCGUCAUCAACCUCAAUGACUUUCUCUUUACCUUUCGACAUUCCCUAAAUUAUAACCAGAGCACCACCACCAACCACUACCCAAGCAAAGCAAAGAGAAAAGAAAUUAUCUACAACUAUCCAAGACCGAGAAAAUAAGAGAAAUACCUGAAGAAAGGGCUCGGUCAGAAAGAGACAGGGAUGGAAGCCUUAAUGCCGAAGUUCAUUCGCCGGAGAGACAAUAAGGGAGAAGAUGACGAGUUCUCGUUUAGGGGUUUUGGGUUUUCCUACUGAGGAACAAAUUCUUGGGAUGCCAGCAAUUAACGGCACAUAUCCCAAGAGUCUUACAACCGUAGGUUUGAAAUUCAAAUGGAGGGGUAGAUUUCUGCCACAUCACCUCAUCCGCAAUUAAAUGCAACACGAUUCUUGGCAGCCUUUUCCAAUCCCGCGCGAGCCAGAACUGUCGAGUUUCUACUGUCGGCUCACUAUGUUACCCAACACCAGAAACUGGGGGACCAGUGUUUGUGGGAUAUGCUUCGACGAAGACCAGCAGUGAUGGUCAGACAUCUGGUAGCAGGGUUCCUCGAACAGGUAUAUCUUGUAAGAGUCUGGUAGCCGGGGGGGCAGGAGCAGGAAUAUCCUGCUCGUCCGCGAGUACGUCAUCCACGAGGCCAAUCUCCUGCUGGAAGCAUAAAGCCAUUCCUGCUAAGGGUUGAGUCGAAAAGACCCGGUCAACGACAGUUGGCGAGACGUGCUCGCCAGUCCGAGAAUCAAGGCACGAAGGCCACGCAACCACCCACGACUACAGAAAUGGGGCAUCCACUUUCAAGAGGUGGGAGAAUAACGAGCGCGAAUGGAGGGAAGGCCUGAGUUCAGGAGGGGCCUAUAAAAAGGUAGCCAACGAAGGUAAAAGGGUUAGAAUUUUUUAGAUUAGAACUGAGAAAAGAAGAGAGAGCUCUACAGAAUUGAUACACCAUAAGAUUUGUGGCUAGCAUUCCCAGGAACACAAAAACCUUCAUUUCUAACUUGAGCGUCGGAGGGUUUAUGCCGGGCAAACAACCGUCGUGCUCUGACCUGUUUCUAUGUACGUAGGGACUUCUGGAGAAGAAGCCUUACGAGGAGAGAUCCUGAUGGUAAUAGAGUUGAUCGAGCAGAGAUCCUGGUCAUGGUAGGAAGGGUAACCAGAACCUCGCAUCAAUAGUCUCUUCAUCAAGUUUUGCUGCUAGAUCAGCAGCUUCAGGAGUUGAAUUACAGUCAUCAGUAUCCCCACAUGCUGACAUGAUAGCCCUGCAUUUGAUUCAUUGAUUUAUUGAAGAUAUAAGAGUUGAUUUCAAAGCAAUUAUCACCUAAUCGAACACAAAGCCAUGAGUUAUUAUACUUAAAUGAAAGCAAACAUCAACCUCAGGAUCACAUUGCAGUUGUUAAUAAACACCAAAGCGUCUGGAUGAUUAACAUUGAAUGCUUCUCCUACUGAUUGCUCAUUCUCUAUAGCCCAGUUGGUUAUCGACAGUUCGACACACCUUUAGUUGCAUAUUUGUCAGUCACAAUAGACCUAAAUCGGUUUACUUGCUCACGGAACUUUGAAAGUUACCUGCUUGCUGUAGGCCAUCAAAUAAGCCACCACAACCUGCGAAAUUAUCUAAUGUGGCUAAGCAAUUCUUAGAUAUUCAGAUUUUACUCCAUUCAAUAAAAAAUGAUAUCUACUAGUUUAAAAAAAAACUAGUAGUAUAAGACAAAGGAAAAAAAGAACACGUAAAAUGUUUAGAUUUUACUCCAUUCAAUAAAAAAAGAAAUAUUUAGAUCGGUUCCUAGAGCAUACUUACUUCUCUAAUGUCAGAGUAGUAUGCUUUCUCCUCUGAUAUGAUGAUGAGCUACGUAGACAUAAUCAUGAACAUGGCAGUAGAUGGUACUCCGUUCCUUUGAGAGUGAACCAUUUCUGUUCAAAUUUACCUUGAAAACGUCCUUCUUCCUCUCGGUUUCCUUUAUUUUACAAGAAUGGCAAGCUCCUGUUCCAAGUCCCAUGGUAUCUUUUUGAAGCUUAAAGAAAGCACCUCUCUCAGGCCAGUACAAGCUUUUACAAUAAUAUUCCAUGGGGAAUUGAUCAAUUCUUCUAUCCUCUGCUCUUUCACGAACAAUUUUGUCCUUGCAAGCAUUAGUAUUCCGAUGUUGAUGCCCCCAAAGAAUCAAUAAGAUUUCAACUGCCACAACUUCUUUAACAUCUUCCAGUUCAAUUUCCAAGCAAUCAUUUGUCAAAAAAACCUCAUUAGAAUCUGCAGUUUUAUUACAAGAAACGUUUCAGAGCCUCUUAGCAUGUGUCUGCCAUGAACCAUCUUUCUUGAAUCUGACUUUUCAAACAUAAACUCUACAAAAUAUAUUAAAGGCAAAUGAUCUGAAUCUGCAGUUUCAACCAGCACGCAACCACCAACAUUAACCACAUUGCCACAAACAAUGGCACGUUUGUAAAGAGACUCACUCAAACAUGUUUUUCUUAUUAACUCCCCAUCCCAUUUCGUAGCCUUCGAAGAGCAAGGUGGCUUAACACUUUUCGCAGAUAAACAAAAUUUCUCCAUAUUCUUAUCAACUUGCAUCUGUUCCACUUUAAUGUCUUCGGGAUAUUCCUCACUAUUUUCUCCAUGUUCUGCAUCGAGUUCUUCAUCCACUUUCACUUCACGGCUAUAUGCCUCUUUGAAUCUUCAGGCAAAUAAUUUGAGUAAAACUCUUCCCAAAUCCUCUUUAUCAAUCUCGUGGUUGUUGCUUGCAUUACCUUUUUUUUUAUACUCUCAUAUUUGAAUUUAUUUCCUUCUUCAGCACCACAUUUUUUUUCACUAAAGACCUGGUGUGGCGUCUUUCCUCCAUUUUUUCAAAAAGACCAGACACAAAUGCACACUUGCUGAUCCUUUUACUAGGAAGCUCUGCAAAUUGUUGGAGUAUGAUAUGUCCAUGAACCACCACAUACCUUUCAACUUCUGUGGGAUUGGAAGAAAUAUAAGCAGGAUUAGUCUUACUGAACUUGGACACUUUUUUUAUUACAUCUACAAAACGAGAGUCGAGAUGCUCAACUCUGAUUGUCCAACAUUGUAAUGAGGGCAAUAGCAAGCCUCGCAGUUUUUAGAACUGGUUUGUACCACGUUGCAUACUGCUUUAAUGGCCUUCCAAGCCUAUACCUAAAAACAAAAUCGCAAAUUUGAUAAGAACUAACACUGACAGAAGAUAAAGAGGACAAAAAGGCAAGCUUAAGCACUAGUACCACCACCAAACCUCUUGGUAGUAUAUGGAUAUUGAUGUAUACCAGGAAAUAUCUGUCCGAACUGAUAUGGAAAUGAACGAGUAUCCAAAUUCGAUCAUCCAUUCCUGUAUUGCACUCAAAUAUACUGGUAGUCCCCCAACAUUCUCUGCCACAGAUGAAGACUGAUCAAAAUUAGCAUCAACACAUAAUCCACUUGAAUCACCAGUUGUCAUAAUCCCAGAUCCAAAGAUGGUAAUAUCAUUAUCAUCACAUGGUUUCAUUGGGAGGAGCUCUAAAGAAAUCAACCGCGAAUCUAAGUUGUGAAGUGACCAAUUGUAAAGCAUUCUUCGAGGAAGCUCGUCAGGAUUAAUUGCAUCAAAGAUUAAAUACUCAUCAUUUUCCUCCUCAUUGGGCUUGUAAUAUGCAGGCAGAGGAUAGUCAUCAACAAUUUCAUCCUCAUUGAUUUUACAGCAGAACUUGCUUGAUGAAGCAACUCUCCUCUGAGUUUUAUUAUGUUUCGUUGAUUGCCAAUUCUCCUCUUCCUACAACAGCCUUGCCAAUUUCAUAUCUUUAUCUUCUUCACCUCCAGAAGCAGAUGAACUAGACUGAUUAUUUUGCACUUCUUCACCAAUUCUCAUACCUGUAUUUAUGAGACUGCUGGAUGCACUGGUUUCCAGAGUAAUUAAACUCCCUUGCUUCUUAGUUUCAUCCAGCAAUGCAAGGAGCACAGGCAAGUUCUCAAAGAUCUGAUCAUUUUUCUUGGAUGUCUCAUCUAAACCGAUGAGUUGAUUAUAUAUGAAUUCACCCUGUGAGAUUAUAAAUUCCUUCAUAGGUGUCCUGUGAGGAAAAUUCUUGCUAUCACUCAUGGAACGAACAACUCCUGCAAGCAAUUCAUCGACAGUCUGAUCAGGGUUCCCUCCACAAGUCCUUGAAAGUUUUAUAGACCUCCACAGAGGCACAAGCCUUUUCAUAGAAAAGGUUAUAUAGCAUUUUAUAACUAUUAGCAGGUUUAACACAAUUAUAGUCUACAGUGACAGUUGAAAUCCAAAAUACCGGUGAGCCUUCCUCAUAUCCAGAUAUUGCCCAAGAUUCAACUCGUCCGAAAUCUUCACAUCUAACACCUCUUUUAUAACAUCCCAAAACUAACACGUGUGGAGCACGUGAAGAAGGAGGUUACUUACAAAUCAUAAUCCUUAUUCAUAAAUUCCAAAUUGAAAUACCUCAAAUUCUUAUUCAAUUAUAUCCACAAAUUCAAACGUCCAACACUAAAUAAGCUCUCACAAAACAUAACAAUAACAAAAGUCUCAAACUCUAAAUUACAAGUUCAUAACGAAAAUAAACUAAAUAGAAACAUGAGUCUAUUCCUUUUCUUAUUCAAAUGGCAAACGGAAAUGAAAAUUACUAACUCCAAAGCUAAGCGCACCUCUCAAAAGAAACUUAAUAUGCAAAAAGUAAUGACGAGGGGUGAGCCGUCAACUCGGUAAGUAAAACCAUUCCUAACACACUAUGCCUAUCGAUACUAAAAAUAUUGCAAGCCUUCUUUUGUUUAAAACAUAUAUCAUAAUCCAUAAAUUUCAUAAAACGAUAUAUCACGAUAACAUAACAUAAAUUCUUAAUAAUUUAGAAAAUUCAAAAGCAUAUUUACUUACGAAGCAAAUCAUAUAAUAUUAGGGAUGUCAAUGGGGCGGGUUCGGGUGGGGAUCAUGAUCCCCGAACCCGAACCCGAACCCGAUUUAGAAGCAAUCCCCCGAACCCGCCCCAUACCCGAAAAAUUCUAAUGGGGAAUUGUUUGGGUAUAUCCCCGAAAAUCCCCGAAUUGAGCGGGGAUUAAAACGGGGACCCGAUCCCCAUUUUUUAAAUAAAUAUUUCAGUUUUCUUUUUUUUAAAUAAUAAUAAUUCUAACAACCUCCAUAUUUAGAAAUAAAAUUACAAAUAAUCAAAUUUCAUAUUAGAAAUAAAAUUACAAGUGAUCAAAUUUUAACAACCUCCACAUAAAUAAAAACAUAAUAAUUUUAAGCCUUCAACAUAAUUACAAAUGAUUAAAUUUUAUACGACAAAUCAAAAUAAUUUUAAGUUUUCAACAUAAACUUGUAGCCAUCACCAUUGAUGCACAUUCUAAGAUUCUUCAUAAACCUAUCACAACAUAAACAAAAAAAAUUAAUAAAAACAUGUUUUAACAAUUCAACUUAAUAAAUACUUGACAAGAUAAUAUAAACUAAAACUAUAUACCUCUAUAGCCUCUACAUCUGUUUCAAUCUCUAGCUCCUCAUCAAGAAUCUUGGCAUAUGCUGGAGAGGUCGAUGCCACAACUACUUAAAAAAUAUAAAUAUAAAUAUCAAGUUAAUUAUUAGUUAAUUUAAAUAAAUAAAAAUACAAAAAUUAAAAUGCAAACUAUAUACCUCCACAAAGAGCACGUAUCCAACUUUGACUACACAUCAAAGCCUCUAAUGUGCUUGGAUGAAGUCUAUUGCGAUAUGGGCUUACAAAUCGACCGCCAGUGCUGAAAGCAGAUUCAGAAGCAACAGUGGUAACUGGAAUAGCCAAAAUAUCUCUUGCAAUUUGAGACAAUAUAGGAUAGUUACCACCAUUCACCUUCCACCAAGCUAAAACAUCAAAUUCUUCCUCAACAUUAAAUGGUACUAACUUUUCACCCAAAUAAGUGUCUAGUUCAUCCUUUACUUCCUCAUUACCAACAUUAACAAAACUAGUAAACCCCAAAAUCCAUUCAGUUGAACCCUUAUAGGAACCCGAACUCGGCAUAGAAUGCGAAGUACUUAAAGAACUAGAACUAUAUCCAGGAGAACUAGCAGCUGAUGCAUAUCUAGCUUUGUACUCUUUCACUAUACUUUGACAAUCACCAUACACUAUCUGGACACGAGAAGUAGCAUCAUCCCCAUAAAUCAUGGAAAAGUAAUAUUCAACCAACCUAAUUUUGAACCUAGGAUCAAAGAUACAUGCAAUAGACAGUAUUCCACUCAUGUCAUGCCAAUACUUAUCAAACUUUUCAAUCAUUUUCUGUGCCAUGAUUCUAAAUUCAUCAUACCUAGGAGUUGAAACCCAUUCAUUCAGGCAAAAUCUAAUAUCACACACAUGGCGCAGAAAUAGAUUAGAUGUUGGAUAACUAGUACCAGAAAAUAAUGUUGUACAAUCAUAAAAACAUUUCAAAUUAUUUUCUAAGGCACUAGCCAAUUACCAAUCAUGCUCACUAGGCAAACACUUAUAUUGUCCAUCAAUAUUCUUCAAUCGACAAAAAACGUUCUUAUAAUGUAAUGCAGAGCAUAUCAUGAGAUAAGUAGAAUUCCACCUAGUUGGAAAAUCUUGUACUAGUUUUCUACCAGAAGUAAUGCCUAAUUUACCUGCAUUCUCAUCAAAUGUCGAUUUCCUUUUAGUUGAUCCUGACCAAAAAAUAACACUCUCACGAAUGUUUUCAAUUAGAUCACCAAUCACACUUAAACCAUCCUUUACAAUCAAAUUUAGAAUGUGGGCACAACAACGAACAUGAAGCUUUUGUCCACCCAAAAUGAGAUCAUUUUUAUCUAGUGCCAACAACAUAAAAUCAAUCAUACGAUCAUUAGUAGCAGCAUUGUCAACAGUUAUGGAGGAUAACUUACGCUCAAUGUUGAACUCCAAUAACGAACCCAUCAGCUUAUCACAAAGCACUUGGCCUGUGUGAGAACCAGGCACUUCCAAAAAACUAAAAAAAAAAAAGAUCAUUAACAAUUAAAAAAAAAUCAGAUUGAUCACUAAUAAUUAAAAAAAAUCAGAUUGAUCAUUAACAAUUAAAAAAAAAUCAGAUUGGUCACUAAUAAUUAAAAAAAUCAUAACAGUAAGAAUUUUACCUCAAAAGUAUGCUCCGUAAUGCCCAAGCAUCGUCAAUAAAGUGUGCAGUGAUUGCCAUAUAUGCUUUUGUUUGAUUUUCUGCAGUCCACAUAUCAGUUGUAAUGGCAAUUCUACCUUGAGUUUGCUCCAAUACACUAAGAUAUUUGGCCCUUUCACACUCAUACAUGUCUAAAAUCUCCUUCUUGAUAGUAUUUCGAGACACCUGCUUCCACAAUUGAUUCAAAGAAGACAUAACAUCCCUCAGACCCUGAUGCUCUACAAUGCUCAGAGGGUACUCAUGCAUGACAAUAGCACGUGCCAUUUUUCUCCUCGUAACAUCAGGAUCAAAAUGAGUUUCUACUGCAGUCUUCCCUUUUUCACCAGCAGCUUUCUUUGCCAGUGGGAAUUCUGUGGCCUCUAUUUCCUUUUUCACUUGACAUGUCUUCAAAUGAUCGUGCAAGUGCUUUGUUCCAUCACUACUCCUUGCUACCAAUGCAUUUUUACAAUAAUUGCAGACAGCCUUAUCAAUCCUGUUAAUUUUUUUCUUCUCGAAAUGCUCCCACACAAUUGACCUCAACCUUCCUUUUCGUCGCAACCCACCAUGAGUAACACUAGCGGCUGAUUCACCUUGAGUAUGAUUGCCUUCAUCAUCCAUUAAGUGUGGUGUGGGCACAGAACUUGACAUAUUAAAUGUUGAACCUACAAUCAAGCCAAUAAGCAAAAUUUUAAAAUGAAAAUAAAACUAGCAUUUUACUAGAAGCAAACAAUUAAGAACUAUGCAGAUACAAAACAUUAAAUCUGAUUUUACCAUGUACUGGAUUUAAAACCAACUAGUACUAAGAUAUUUAAAGAUAAAAUACAAAUACUCGCUUAUUCUUUGGCUGCAACGAACAUUUACUAAUUAAGCAUCUAUAAUUUCUAGUUAUAUUUAAUGGUUAAUGAUGCUUAAUUGACUUACAGAAUGCCAAAGGUAAUAUAAAAACUAAAUUCUGGAAGUUAUUAAAUUUCUCCUAAAAAAUAUGACCUGAACUAAAAGCAAGAGCAAAAUCUGUACCCCCAGAUGUGAAAACCAAUAAUAUUUCAGAAAGCAGGAGGGCUUUGGUUCUGAACAAACCCAAAUCAGCAGAAGGGGCAGUGGGAUCCCAUAAAGAAUGUCAAAGGAAAUAUUAUUACCCAAGUUUGUCAAUACCUCAAUUUAUUAUUCUGCUCAACAAAAGUAAAUUAAUUAAUUAAAAUAAUAAAUAAAAAAUGUCCUCUUGGAUGUUUCAGCAAACUAAAAUAGAACUAGUUAAAUUCCUUCAGCUUCGAAACUAGCUAGCUAAAGGAAAAUGUUAAGAAUAAUGCAAAAACAAGAAUAAAAGAAAAGAAAAGCAAGCGGCCAAAAGAAAAGAAAAGCAAGCGGCCAAUAUGCAAGCAAGCAAUUAAACCCUGGAAAUUUAACACAGAGCUAAAAGAAAAUCAUGACUACCCAAGCUAUAAACCAAUUAAACCCUUAAAGUUUCAGUUGAUAGCAUAGGCAAACUAAUAAAGCUAAUAUUACUGACAAACAAAUUGCAGCCAGUAUCCAAAGGAAGUGCUAAAAAUGACAAUCAAAUGCAACUCAAUGACUCAUUACUGACAAACAAGCACGCAUAGAGACACCCAAAUCAAUGAAACCAGAUGCAAUUCGAAAUAAAUAAACAAAGAAAGAAAAGUAGAAAAGGCAAAAACCUUGUUGCAAGAGAACCAACAGGUGCAGCUGAGUGUUGGUCGGUGACGACGAACGGUGGCGGCUGACCAGCUGUUAGCGAUGACGGUAGCUCACGAACUGUUAGGGUUUCUUUUGGGGGAAAAAAUUUGAUUCGAUGGCAUUACAAUUUCUAAUUUCAAAGUUUAAAAUAUUAGAUUUUUUUUUGUUUUUAUUUUCGGGUUGAGUUAGGGGAUCCAGAAAAUCUCUAAACCCAAACCCAAAACGUUUUGGGGUUUUAGACCCAUACCCAAAUAGACCCGAAUUUACUUUUAGACUUUUUUGGGGCCCCAUACCCGCCCCAAAUUAAUCGGGGCCCCGCGGGUUUGGAGCCCCGUGGGUAUUGUUGCCAACUCUAUAUAAUACAUAUACAGAAAACAAAAGAUUAUCUCAUGUCACAUAGUGUCACCUAUAGUCCCGGUGACCCGACCAGAAACAGAAUCAGAAUAUCGUGUGCACACUCAGAACAGAAACCUAGUACUAGUCUAGACAGAUAUAUCGUAUAUUACGAUCAGAAUCAGAAUAAAAAUAACUAUGGACAAUUAGUCAAAACAUUAGGAAUCCCAUACAAUCAUCAAUAAUUGAAAUCAAACAUGGCUACAAAACAUUCGUAUCAUAUUCAUAAAAGUCCAUAUCAAUAAUUUAGGCUUGCAUAAUAUUUUAAAGAUAAAAUCAUAAAAGGUUUUCAUGUCAUAAAAUCAUUUACAUAUUAAAAAGAAUAUAGGUUUGAAAACAUUUACAUAAAACUAAUUUUGUUAUCAAAAUCAAUUAAUCCUUUAAGUAGUAUAAAAAUAUUUAUACUUAUAAUAAUAAUAUCAAAAUACUUAUACAUAUCUAGUAUACUAGGAAUGAAGUUACUUACGAAAGCAAAUCAUAUAUCACAUUCACAGAAAAACAAAAGGUUAGUUCAUGUCACAUAGUGUCACCUAUAGUCCCGGUGACCCGGCCAGAAACAGAAUCAGAAUCAGAAUAUCAUGUGCACACUCGGAACAGAAAUCUAAUACUGGUCUAGAACAUACAUAUAUCGUAUUAUACGAUCAGAAUCAGAAUCAGAAUAACUACAGACAAUGAGCCAAAACAUAAUGACUUAUACGUGGCACUUUGCACUAUUUGUGGCACUUUGCGACGCUUUGGCCUUCAAGAAGUGGUCCCCAUAUAGUCCCAAGAGGUGACCCCCGUACAAUCACAAAGAAUUGAAAACAUUCAUAAGCACAAAAACAUUCGCAUCAGUUUCAUAAAUGUCCAUAACAACAAUUUAGGCUUGCAAAAUAUUUUAUAAAUAAAAUCAUAAAAGUAGGCAUGUAACAAAAUAACUUACAUAUUUAAAAAGCAUUUAUAAAACACUUUGUUCAAAAGAAUUUAGGUUUGAAAACAUUUUCAUAAAACUAAUUUUGUUAUGAAAAUCCAUUAAUUUUCUAAGUAGUAUAAAAACAUUUAUACUUAUAAUAAUAAUAUAUUUAUACAUAUUCAGUAUACUAGGAAUGAAGUUACUUACCUCGACUAAAAAAUUUGAAUUAACACGCCUCUAAACCUCUAAGUGCCGCAAUCACCUCCAACACCAAUUGCUUUGAUUCUCUUCUAAAUAAAGGCUUGAAUCCUAGGGUUUGGGUAAGAGCGUAAUGAGCAGCAGGGAAGAAAAGAAACGUCGUGGAUUUAGGGUUAUGGAAGGGGGAAAAUAUGAAUUUAUAGGGAGUCUUAAGUAACCCUAUUGAAUUUGAAAAAAUAAUCCUUUUCCAAAAUUAUCUCAUAAUUAACCCUUAUUUAUAAUUUAAUAUCCCUUUUUAAUAAGGGUUAUAGGCCACGCAUGAUUCCUAAUGAAAGCCCAAUUUCCAUAAUUUAAUGUUAUGGAAAUUUGUGGCGUUACAUCUUUCUUUAUGUCUUCCACAACAUUUUUCAAGAGACAAAAUAAGACCUGAAACGAACAAGUUUCCAACUUCCAACAUUUCAACAGACUUUAGGUUUCCACAAGAAUCAUGAAAAGCAAAUUCUGUUAGCCUUCGAUUUGGUCUACAGUCAUCCUUUCCAGCGGUCAAGCUUAUUGCAACCUCUUCAUUUUCUGCAACAACUUCCCUUGUGCUUUCCACAAAAGAUGCACUUCGAGAGAAGGAAAGAGAUUUUUCCAUGAUAUCCAUACAUGCAGCAGCUCUCUUUGGCAUUUUCCAAGAAUUGGAUGCUUUUUCACUAUUUUUAUGUCUACUUCUCUUAUUGUUUUCCGGUCGUCUCAGACUUCUCGUCUAUAGUAUUAACUUCAAUGACAGAAGGUUGCUUUCCCUUGGCUAUUUUUUCCAUAUCUAGAAAUAAGUAUAAAAUUAAAAACAGGAAUAAAAGCAGAUACUAUUAAACUCCAUGGUUACUUUGGUAUAUGAGGAAAUAAAAUGACCAAAAAGGUACUCUAAUAGAAUAAAUAAGGAAACGAUCGAGUUUGGGAGCGAAAAUUAAUCAUCUAUUUUCUUUUGAUGUGGAUAAAUAAAUGGAAAAGGUAAGCUCACUCAAGUCAAUAAAGACUAAAGCAUGGGGUAACAACAUUCAGAAUCUACAGUAAGGUAUUGACAUUCAGAAUCUAUUGUCACAAAUAAAAAGACAUUUAAACAAUCAGAAAAGUGAGCAACUUAAGGACGACACUUGUUACAUAUGCCAAAUGUGGUAGUCUGGGCAUUCAAAAGUAAUGAAGCAAUCUUUAAAUUAAUGCAUGUCCAGAACACUAUGGAGCAAGCUGCUGAGGAUUCAUCGUGCUUUAUUACAGAAUGUCCUUAAUGGUGUUAUUACUUUCUUCACAUGAACUUUUGAUAACUAUUUUGCCCGAAUUAACACAACUAAAUGUAAAUGACCUACCAAAACUAUUUUACAAGUUGAAGCAAAUUCCAAAAUUAGAUAUAUACAUGGCUAUAUUCUUCGUAUACCACUGACCAAAAAUAUUAGAAAACCAUAGAUGCUAUCAGUAAUUAGAACCCAAAAAAAAAAAAAGAUUCUAGAAAACGGAACAGCUAACUAAUAAGUAUUACAGACCUGUAUUUAUGAAAUUGCUUGAUACAGUUGUUUCCGGAGCCAGUAAACUCCCUUGCUUCUUAGUUUCAUCCAGCAGUGCACGGAGCACAGGCAAGUUCUCAAAUAUCUAAUCAUUUUUCUUGGAUGUUUCAUCUAAACCAAUGAGCUGAUUAUAUAUGAACUCACCCUGUGAGAUUAUAAAUUCCCUCAUAGAUGUCCUGUGAGGAAAAUUCUUGCCAUCACUCAUGGAACGAACAACUCCUGCAAGAAGUUCAUUCAAAGUCAGAUCAGGGUUCCCUCCACAGGUUCUUGACAAUUUCCUAUAGACCUCGACAGAGGCAUGAGCUUUUUCAAUGAAAAGGUAAUAUAGCAUUUUAUAAUUAUUCGCAGGUUUAAUACAAUCAUAAUCUGCUGUGAGUGUUGAGAUCCAAAAUACUGGUAAGCCUUCCUCAUAUCCAGAUAUUGCCCAAGAUUCAAAUCGACCAAAAUCUUUACAUCUAACGCCUUUUUCCUUCUGCCUUCCACCACAUUUUUCAAGAGGCAAUAUAAGACCUGAAACAAACAAGUAACCAACUUCCAACAUUUCAACAGACUUUAGGUUUCCACAAGCAUCAUGAAAGGCAAAGUCUGUUAGCCUUCGAUUCGGUCGAAUGUCAUCCUUCCCAGCAGUCAAGUAUAUAGCAGCCUUCUCAUCUUUCACAACAUCCUCCCAUCUGUUUUCAACAAGAGAUGCCUUUCUGGACAAGCGAAGAGAUUUCUCUUUAAAAUCUGAACAUGCAGCAGCUCUCUUUGGCACCAACUCAGCUUGUUAUUCUCAUGGGGCUGUUUAUAUCUUUGGGGUAUGCAUGAUUUCCAAAACUAUCAACUAUGAAUUAUAUGUUUCAUAAUUUAGUUGUUGCUUUCUCGAUGUUGUAUGCUUAUUUAUUUAUUUAUUGUUCAUUUAUUAGUCUAUGGUUAUUUUUGGUUAGUUCUAGUAUUUUGAUAAAUUCGCCUGGUCGGUUUAUUUCACUAACCAUUAAUGAGAAAAUCCGCCAAGUGAUCCUCAAACUCUUCUACACAAUUAUAAUAAUUUCAGUUUUAUAUAUACAAAAAUGAACAGCUCUCAAACAUUGUUUGAUAAUGACAAAUUUGAUGCUUGUACUUUAAUGUUAUUAUCAUUAAAGUAAUGAGGAACGACAUAUAUUCUCUCUAAACAGUAAAUUCGGAAAUUCAGAACAGAUUCGGUAACAUGUGGCAUUCUACAUUCUUGCAAUGCCAUUUCUUGUUAUGGCAGCAGCAUUUUUUAUCAUCGUUUCUAGAGAGAAUGAAGAGAGAGAGAAAGUAUCAUCUUAUUCCUUGUUAGUUUCUCCGUGUGAGCUCUGUAAAAUUACUUUGAUUCAUAAAUAAAACUCAUUUUGGUCGAUUCUCCCUUGGAUGUAAGUUGUGCCUCAUUGCACAGCUGAACCACGUAAACAGUGCUGGUUUCUGUGUGUGAUUGUUUGUUAAUCUUGCUUGUUUCUUUUUUCCUAAUGGCUGAAAUCUUGCUUUAAGUUCUCAAGUCAUCUAUUGAGUUCAUCGAGGUCAUUCAAUUAUUCAUAUGUAGCUAGUUUGAUCUUGAACAGGGUCUUGGGCAGUGUUUUGAUGGCUUGAUUAGCGGCUAUCUUGACAGUACAAUUGGUAUCAGAACUAGUUCUCCAGAUCGAGAUCCAAGUAUGGCUACAUCAAAGAUUGAUCUCAAGAAGUUCAAUGGAAAGAAUGACUUUAAUAUACAAAACUUGUAUCUAAUGGUUUACAUUUGGAGAUGAUGUAAUAAAGUGCUGUUGAUAAAUUCACCUGGUCGGUUUACUACUUCACUAACCAUUAAUGAGCAAAUCCUCCCAGUGACCCUCAAACUCUUCUACGCAAUUAUAAUAAUUUCAGUUUUAUAUAUACAAAAAUAAACAGCUCUCAAAUAUAUUAUUUGAUAAUGACAAAAACAACAAUUCACUCCAAUAAAUCUCGUAAUAAAUACAUGGUCUAUAUUGCAAGUCUUUUUAGGACUCAUUCAAAAAGAAAACUUAGGGAAUGGCAUUGCAAGAAUAUGGAAUCAGAAUAACAUUGAUACAAAGAGAAAAAAAGGGGAUGGUCGGAUUGAUUUGUUUGCAAAAUUAUUGGUGCAGGGGUCUACUUGUUUUUGUUUCACUUUAUUAAUUAAUUAGCAAAGCAAACAUGUAAUCAUUUGAAAAAGGAUCACUGGUACCCGCUUACGAAAGAUGAAUUUGUAAGACAUUAAUUUAGAUGAAAAUGUGGCGUUAUUAAGUUAUGAGUUCAUUAACUUGAGGUAUUAAUAUUUACUAAUGAUGGUGAUUAAUUUAUUUAACUUGUCAUGGUCUUCAAUUAAGAAUGAAGUGCAAUCAAUUUAUGGAAAAAAUAAUUAUUUUUUUACUUUUUAAGAUUUUAAUUCUUAGGAUUUCAUUUCGCUCUUUUUCGAUUAUUGACGUUGUUGAAGAGGGCAAUAAAAGCCUGCUGAAUUUCAUCAAAGGCUUGCAUCUCAUCUCACAAAUUGGCAAUAUUGAUUGGCAUCUUUAUAAGCGCAGGCAUGAUGAAUUUAUCACUUCCUUCAUAUUGAUGGCCAUAAAUUUCAACUGUACUUUAUUUUUGAGGCACAAUCUAACUUAACAAAAAUAGUAUUCAAAUUGUCACAAUUUUUUUUAAAAAAAUGAAAAUUCAUAUACAGUAGUUAUUUUUUCUUUUUCUUUACUCCAACUUUUAUUAAAAAGUUAAAUACAAAUCCCGAAGAAUCCGCUAUAUAAUCUGAUAGAAUCUAGAAAACGGAGGUACAUGCAUGGCAAUAUCAUUACUUUGUACGACUGGAUUAUUUUUACAAAUUUUUUUCCAAAGAAACUAAUAAAAUUUAUUAUUUAAUAAAAAGUCAAAUACAAAUCCCGAAGAAUCCGCUGUAUAAUCUGACAGAAUUUGGAAAACGAAUGCACAUGCAUGGCAAUAUCAUUACUUUGUACGACUGGAUUAUUUUUACAAAAUUUUAUCCAAUCCCUUGUUUGAUGCCUGUAAAUCAAUAUUUAAAUGUACAGUUAUUUUGUUAUGUUAUUUGAUUUUAACUAUUAAUGUGAAUAUUGGAAUAUAUAUUUAUAUUGAACUAAUAAAAUAAUUGUAUAAAAACAUUUGAAUAAACUUAAUUAUGAAUUAUGAAUUCAUGAUGUAAGGUAGCGUUUGUUUUUUAAUCUAAAAUCUUAGUGAGUCUGAAUUUAGCUAAAAUCUGAAUAUAUUUGAAUUGCAUAUGUCUAAAUGGCAUGUUUGUUUUCUCUUUUUUGAUGUCUGAAUGUAAGUGACAUCUUUUUUUUAUAAAUAAAAAAAGUCUGAAAUAUGAUUAUUUAACAUUUAUGUUCUUGUAAGAAUUAUUUAUACUUAUUAUAAAUUUUAAGAUUUAAAUAUGUGCACGUUACAAUUAAAAUCAAAGAUAUGUAGAAUUGAGUAAUUGAUCUUUAAAUAAAAAUAUUAUUAUAUUACUCCAAAUACAAAAUUGAAUCAAACUUAUUAUACUUUAAAAUUAAAAUUUAAUUUUAUAAUUUACAUCAUCUUUUUUACCAUUUAAGAUUGUAAAAGCCCAUUCGCCCAAACCUAGUCUUAAUUAGCUGUACAUAAGUGUAAAGGCCCAUAUGUUCUUAAGAAGUGUUGAGAGUUUUCUUAGACCCAUAAGUGAAUGGAUAUGUGUAAUGCCCUCAACUUCAAGCCAGAGUUAUAACUAAUGGCAGAUCUGUGUAAUCCUUUUAAAACCGUUCUCUAAUUAUAUUAAAAGACAAAAUAAAUCUAAUUAAAUUCUUAUAUUUCUCUCUCUAUAAGUUUCUUUUUUUAAUGAGAAAAAGACAUCUACACCCCUAAGGUUUGGAAAAAUGAUCAUCAACACCCCUAUGUUUUCAAAGGUGGACACCAAGACUCCCUUUGAUGAUUAUACUCUUUAUCUCUAUUAUUUCAAAAGAAUUAACUCUAAUAUUUUACAAUAAAUAGAAAUAUGAUAUUAAAAUAAAUGUAAUAAUACGUACAUUUUAAAAUAAUUUCAAUUUUUAAACAAUAUUUUAAUAUUUUAUAAUUUAUUAGAUAUAUUUUACUAUAUUAAAGUAAAUUUUAUGAUAAAUAGAAUCAUAAUAUUAAAAUAAAUGUAUUAAAAAUUUAAAUUAUAUUGAAUAUUAUGUAAAAUAAUAAUUUUAACAAUAUUAGUAUGUGAGAAUGUUUUUAAUUGUAGAACGUAUUUAAUGCAAAUAUUUAUUUAAAAUCUCUACAAUAAAAAAGAUAUUAUUAAAAUAAAUAUGAUAAAUUACAUAUUGAAAUAUUAAAUAUUUUAAUAUUUCUAGUCUACUACAUAGAUUAUACUAUUUAUAUGGUAUUUGUAUUUGCUAAAAAUUUUAAAGUCAAAUUUUUAGAAUAAUAGAGAUAAGGGAUAUAAUGGCCAAAAGAAGGUCAUGGUGUCCCUCCUUGAAAACUUAAGGGUGUUGGUGACCAUUUCCCCAAAUCUUGGGGGUUUAGAUGUUCUUUUUCCUUUUCGAAAUCAUUAGCCCCACACAACUACACCAAACAACCAAAAUUUUGUGGGAUCUGUAGUUCAGGCAGAAGCGGCCGGCCGAAUGCUUCCAGCAACUCAGGCAGAUAGAACCUUGGUUGAUUUGUUUUUCUUCAUUUGAAAUUCUACCUAACGGCUAUCCUUUUAAUUGGUUUAAAUUCUUCUUUUUUCUUUGAGUUGUUGAUUUAUAGUGCCUUACAUGCAAAAUUCAAAAUUUCGGAUGAUGAUAAUCUUGUUUUAGAAGAGAUUUCUAGUUAUGCUAGCAGCAUUCUUGAUCGUGGCAUCACAAGCACAUGCUCUGNNNNNNNNNNNNNNNNNNNNNNNNNNNNNNNNNNNNNNNNNNNNNNNNNNNNNNNNNNNNNNNNNNNNNNNNNNNNNNNNNNNNNNNNNNNNNNNNNNNNGUUCAACAUGUAAUCAUUUAAAAAAGGAUCACUGGCCCUAGCUUACAAAAGAUGAAUUUGUAAGACAUAUUAGUUUUGAUGAAAAUGUAGUGUUAUUAAGUUAUGAAUUCAUUAACUUAGAGGUAUUAAUAUUUACUAAUGAUGGUGAUUAAUUUAUUUAACUUGGUGAUUAAUUAUUUAACUUGUCAUAGUCUUCAAUUAACAAUGAAGUGAAAUCAAUUUAUGGAAAAAAAUAAUAAGUUUUUUACUUUUUAAGAUUUUAAUUCUUAGGAUUUCAUUUUGCUCUUUUUCGAUUAUUGACGUUGUCGAAGAGGGUAAUAAAAGCUUGUGGAAUUUCAUUAAAGGCUUGUAUCUCAUCUCACAAAUUGGCAAUAUCGAUUGGCUUCUUUAUAGGUGAAGCCAUCACGAAUUUAUCACUUCUUUCAUAUUGAUACCCAUAAAUUUCAACCUUAUUUUAUCUUUGAUGCACAAUCUAACUUAACAAAAAUAGUAUUCAAAUUGUCACAAAAUGUUUUUUUUUUUAAAAAAAUCAUAUACAAUAGUUAAUUUUUCUUCUUCAAGUUUUGUAUGAAACACUAAUCUUGCUCUGUACUUUGGAGUAUUUUAAUAAUUGAUGUUAAGAUUUGCUAAUGUAAAGAAAGAAAAAGAGAACCAAUUUGGAAAAGUGAAUACUUAUAGUGAAAGAGAACCAAUUUGGAAAAGUGAAUACUUAGUAGUGGGAGUUCUAUCCUUUGGGGUUUAAUUAAUGUUUGAUGUUGUUUCUGUUGGCCUCAGCUAGUUGUUAAGAUUUCAUACCUUUUGUUGGUUUUUCAUAACUGUGACCUAAAGCUUAAUGUAUACUUUGAUAAUUACAUAAUCGGUUUCUUGCUGAUACUUGGCUUUAAUUUAUAAACCUGAGGCUCUUUUGGGAGUUGGGAAGAUUUACGAAAGAGGAGUUUCUGAUUAUCUGGUUUGUUCUCUUUAUGCCUACAGAAGUUGAAUUCACUCUAUGCAUGAAUUUAUGAUUCUUUUAGAAAGAUUUUAUUCUUGAGAAAGAUUUGAUGAAAUUGAAGCAUUAUAGUAAAGCGUACCACUGGUAAGCUUGAUUCACUUUUUUUCAUUUACUACCAAGAGGUGCCAACAGUUCAUGAUGCACAAAAAGAGGUGGGGAAAAAAAGAAAUCUUCUUGCUAGAUACAUAAAUUUAAUAUUUGAAUCAUUUUCAACCAAAGAAAUGUGCUGAAGAGCACCAUUUUCGUUUAUAUCAAAGUUCAAUUGCAUCUUAUAUCAUCUGUUUCCAUCUCCUUUGUGGUAAAUAAAGUCCUUGGUGAUGACAAUAAGAAUCACAGAAGAAGUUAAUUUCUUAUCUGGAGAUUUUCAUCAUAGUAGUUCAUUGAAAGUGAAGGCAGCUGAGUACUCCUUUUUCUGAUGCAGUCUAUCCCUCUUUGGUGUGAUUAUUUGAAAUUUGCGCAAGAAUAUGAUCCAUCUAUACGAGAAUGUGCCUAAUAAAAUAUCACAAAGGUGCCUAAUACAGUGAAAUUAACAUAUUCAGCUCAUGAGAUUGCCAUUAUAUAUAUUGAAAAAGAAAUUAAUAUAAGAAACUGAAAUUAAUUGACACUGGUUCAUGAUGGAUUGUUAGUUGUUAAUUAUGAUGGGAAUAUAAUCUUGGUCUUUUAAUUAUCAUCUAGCUAAUGCAUGUGCACUUUCAUUUGUGUCUAUCACUGAAGAAUAAAGUUGCUUGAUUGAACAUCAUAUGACAGAAACUCAAAACUCAAUUUCAUUGCCCGAGCAUACCAUGCCAUAUGUGGCUCAAAAGUACAAUUAACAUUGAACGUUCAGCUAGCUAGCUCGUACUAAUUAAUUUAUAGGAUUGCUAGUUCUUUAUGAUUCGCUAAAAGAGAAAAUAUUUGACAAUCACGAAAACAAUAACAAUUCACUCCCAUAAACAACAUAAUAGAUACAUGGUCUAUAUUGCAAGUCUUUUUAUGAUUUUAAUUAAAAGAGAAAAUGCAACGGACAUAUUAUAUAUAAUUGAAUGUUCUCCUUGAUAAUUAGUCAAAAUAACGCCAAUAUGAAUAACUAAUACAAUCAUCAUAAUUAUCCGAUUUUCAUUUUAAUUAUGUCCAACCAUGCUAAUUUAAUAAAGAACACUGACUGAAUACAUGAGCAUUUAUAUGUUCAACAAAUUUGGCUGAGUAUGAAAAAUAUAAGAGCUACAUUUAUGCUUUGUGUUAUUAAGUAGGACAUGACCAUAUUAUGUUGCAUUUGUCAGAAAACUGAAAAUUAUCGAAAAGGAUCCUAAAAGAGAUGUGUUGAGUUGUGAGCUUAAAAAUGAGUUUUAGAAGUUCCUGACAUGUCGGUGUGUAUCCUUGAUUGUGCAUGCCCUGUCGGUUUCUGGAUGAAACAGAAGAAUAUGACAUAUGUGUAUUGUCUUUUACUUCCAGCAAGCACGUGAUUUAAGUGAAUCACAUGUUCUUCACGUGAUUUGACAUACUUUAUACGGAUUUAGCAGUUGUUUUGGUCACUUAUUGAAGCACGAGUUAAGCACGUGAUUCAAGGUUGUUAACUGACCGUUAUAAGGUGGAAAAUUCUGGGUUUCUUACAACAAACCCAGAGGGCAUCUGGUGAGUGGAAGCUGUUUCUAGAUUCUUCAUGAUCUGUAUAUAUAACACAAAACUACAUGCAUGUCAAUUGCUUUAUGUUAAUAUUGUUACUAAUGAGGCAGCUAGUAAUCCCUUUGGUGUAAAUAAUUAACUUUCAUAUGCACAAUAUUUAAAAUAAUCACCAAACAACAAUUCACAAGUUACAUUACACAUAAACAAAAUAAAACUAAUCUAGCAAAUUCAAUCAUAAUAAUUUGAUUUUCAUUUAUAUUAAUUAUUUCCAAUCAUGCUAUUUUUUUUUUAAAAAGAACACUCCAGUGUUUAUAUAUCCAACAGGUAAAAUUUCAAAAUAAUAUUUGCUAAAGUCUGAUGAAGAGAAUAUACACGCACACACAUAUAUAUAACCGUACAGCAGAAUGAUAAAUAAAAGAAAAUGAAGUUUCAACAGCUGAAUAAUGCAUUUUAUUGUUUAAUUAAAAAAUUCGAAAACCCAUUGGCCAUAUAUACAUGAUAAAGACUCACUGAAGCCGAGCCAUAUUAAUUUAAAUUAAUUUUCAAUUGAGAUUUAAAUUUUGAAAUUACAUACACAAACACGCCCAAUUUAAAAAAAAAAGUAGUAAUUAUAAAAUAUUUCAGUCAUUUAUUACAACAUAAGGUAUAUGGGUUAACAAGUCCCAAUAUUGUCCUCCAUCCUUUCUGCACUUCUCUGUUAUCAACGGACAACUCCAGAUCUGUAAUUGCAAAAGUGAGGAAGGCAGGCCCUUCUCCGGAAAGUAUUUGAGCUUGGGACAUCCCCAGAGAACCAAUUCAAUGAGGUUUUGAAGAUCAACAAUUGAAGAAGAUAGGCGUUCCAGAUUUGGAAAAUCUUCAAUCCACAGAGAUGUUAGAGAGGCAGGAAGAGGAAGCGCGGUCCCUAAUCUUUUGUCCUCUAGUGGAAAUGACACCAUGUCUUCAUCGCAUCCACUGAUUAAAAGAUAUCGCAGAGAGGAGAAUCUGUGAAAUCCCCGUCCCCGCUCAAUCAUCGACUUCCAAAUCUCCAUAUUACCCCAAAUAUUAAGUGACUGAAGGUUGGUGGGAAGUGUUGGAAAAAUAGCAUAACAUGCUAUUUUGAGAGCACAUUUUGAGUGGGUCCCACUUAACGAAAGUGGAAAAUAUUGUGAGGUUCGGAUUCUACUCCGUUAAUACUUCAAUAGUAUAAUUUUAUUUUCUCAAAAUGGUGCUUGGGUGAAUGAGAAAUUGUCUCUCAAAGUUCACCCUUGAAGUUGGAAAUUUAAAAGGAAAUGAGUCUUAUCCCACAUGGGAAAAAGAAGCCUAGGAAUUAGUGUUUAAAUAUAAACACUUAACCAUGCAUGAGUAAGAAUUAUGAGGAUAGAGGCUCUCUCCACACGCGCGUUCUUCAUUUAGUGUUUCCGAUUCCUAGUUUACACUAUUGUUUAAAUUAGCUAACAUAUAAUUUGUUAUCUCACUGUUUUAUUGUGUGUUUGUUUAACAGGAAGGCCAUCUUCUUCUUCAAGGCUUGGAAGCGCACCUCCUAUUGUUAAGUAUUGAAGAGAACUCAGUUUGUGCAAUCCCUUGGGUAAGGCCUCUAGUCUCUUACAAUUAGAUAUCUCCAGCCUCCUGAGUUUCGCACAAGGCAAUCCCCCUUCGGGAAAGGAUACCAGAUUUCCACAACUCUGUAUAGUAAUCCCUCGAAACUGCUGGAGAUUAUGUAAACCACUCGGUAAAAUUUUGAGAUUUUCACAAUAAGAAAUGUAGAUAUCUUCAAGAGAUGUGUUGUUGUCCAACCUUUCUGCUAUUGACUCCAGCUUUGAACAUCCACAAACACGAAGGGACUUAAGAGACGGAGGUAGAUUGCCAACUUCAAGGGACUCAAGCGUGGCAGGUAACUCGUUUUUUGAAAAUAUACAUGUCAGUGAUGGACAAUCCCUAAUUUCCAACUCCUCGAGAAGAGAUGAGGUGUACCUUCUGCCGCUGCUACACUGGAUGCCCUCUUCCACUGUCAAAGUCCUUAUAUUAUCGCAACGGCUGAUCUGCAACUUCUUAAGGCUCGAUGGUAGCUGGACCGCAGCAAUAUAUGUCAACGAACGACAAUGCUCAAUAUUCAAGAUCUCGAGAGACGAAUUGGUGUCGCACAUCCAUGCCUCUGGUAACGAUUUCAGCACAUCACAAUACCUAAUCUCAAUUUUCCUCAACUUGGAAGGCAGAGCAACCUCAGGAAAGGAAACAAGGGAACUGCAGUUGUAGAUUUCUAUCUCUCUCAAGGAACAGAGGCUGAGCGAUGAUUGUGGCAGCUUCACAAGGCCUUCGCAUUCGCUCAAUCUUAGAUAUUCGAGUCUGCAUGACAACUCGCAGAGUUGCUGUUGUUGGUCUUUCUCUUCCUCCGCGACCAAGGAUUGAAUUUUGGGACAGCUGUCAAUCGUCAGUCUUUUGAGAGAGCAAAUGUCUUGCAGUAAUUCGUUAUGACUCUUCCAUAUAUGUGUUUCAAUUUUAAUAUUAUUUAUCUCCAAUUCUUCCAGUUUUGGUAUUCGCGGCUUCAAUGGCCCUGCGAGAAACACUUGAUUGAUGUAUCUCUACAAACCANNNNNNNNNNNNNNNNNNNNNNNNNNNNNNNNNNNNNNNNNNNNNNNNNNNNNNNNNNNNNNNNNNNNNNNNNNNNNNNNNNNNNNNNNNNNNNNNNNNNNNNNNNNNNNNNNNNNNNNNNNNNNNNNNNNNNNNNNNNNNNNNNNNNNNNNNNNNNNNNNNNNNNNNNNNNNNNNNNNNNNNNNNNNNNNNNNNNNNNNNNNNNNNNNNNNNNNNNNNNNNNNNNNNNNNNNNNNNNNNNNNNNNNNNNNNNNNNNNNNNNNNNNNNNNNNNNNNNNNNNNNNNNNNNNNNNNNNNNNNNNNNNNNNNNNNNNNNNNNNNNNNNNNNNNNNNNNNNNNNNNNNNNNNNNNNNNNNNNNNNNNNNNNNNNNNNNNNNNNNNNNNNNNNNNNNNNNNNNNNNNNNNNNNNNNNNNNNNNNNNNNNNNNNNNNNNNNNNNNNNNNNNNNNNNNNNNNNNNNNNNNNNNNNNNNNNNNNNNNNNNNNNNNNNNNNNNNNNNNNNNNNNNNNNNNNNNNNNNNNNNNNNNNNNNNNNNNNNNNNNNNNNNNNNNNNNNNNNNNNNNNNNNNNNNNNNNNNNNNNNNNNNNNNNNNNNNNNNNNNNNNNNNNNNNNNNNNNNNNNNNNNNNNNNNNNNNNNNNNNNNNNNNNNNNNNNNNNNNNNNNNNNNNNNNNNNNNNNNNNNNNNNNNNNNNNNNNNNNNNNNNNNNNNNNNNNNNNNNNNNNNNNNNNNNNNNNNNNNNNNNNNNNNNNNNNNNNNNNNNNNNNNNNNNNNNNNNNNNNNNNNNNNNNNNNNNNNNNNNNNNNNNNNNNNNNNNNNNNNNNNNNNNNNNNNNNNNNNNNNNNNNNNNNNNNNNNNNNNNNNNNNNNNNNNNNNNNNNNNNNNNNNNNNNNNNNNNNNNNNNNNNNNNNNNNNNNNNNNNNNNNNNNNNNNNNNNNNNNNNNNNNNNNNNNNNNNNNNNNNNNNNNNNNNNNNNNNNNNNNNNNNNNNNNNNNNNNNNNNNNNNNNNNNNNNNNNNNNNNNNNNNNNNNNNNNNNNNNNNNNNNNNNNNNNNNNNNNNNNNNNNNNNNNNNNNNNNNNNNNNNNNNNNNNNNNNNNNNNNNNNNNNNNNNNNNNNNNNNNNNNNNNNNNNNNNNNNNNNNNNNNNNNNNNNNNNNNNNNNNNNNNNNNNNNNNNNNNNNNNNNNNNNNNNNCACCAAUUACCAAUUUGCUCUUUUUAACCAAACUCGUAAUUGAAAUUGACAAUUCUUUGCAUUCUUGGAUAACAAGCAUCUGCAAUGCAGGAAGGUGCUCUGGAAAUGUUCCUUGCAGUUUAGAACAUCUUAAAAUGUGAAGCUCUCUCAAUUUAGGAAACCGUUCAACUCCCUGACUGGAUCCAUGAGGAAUCCAGUCUUCCCACUCUUGCAGGUCUUCAAAACGAAGAGUCUCCAAGCAUGGAAAUGGAAUUGGAGAGUCAUCCCCAUAGAACUCUACACCCAAUCUCUUUACUCUACUCAUUCCACGCACUGUAAGAUGUUUUAGAGAGGGCAGUUGCCCAACAGACGGCAGGGCAGUACACAUGCUGCAAUCUUCAAAUUUAAGUGUUACUAAAUUUGAGAAUGAGGAAUCUCCUAACCAUGUUGGAAAUUUUGUACCUCCAUAGCCACAGACACAAAAUUGUUCCAGAUUUUUAUGGGGUUUAAGCAUGUCAAGCAUGCCCAUUUCAGUUUCUGCUUCCCUUGAGGAUGAACCAUCGGUGCUGCAAGUCCAAUUAAGCGAUAAUUCUUUAAGAUUCUUCUUUCCAUCCAACCGAGCCUCCUUUGCAUCACCAAUGUCUUUUACAUUCUCUAACUUUGAAAUUUUAAGUGUCCCCUGAAGAUGUAUCAAUGACUUUAGCUCUCGUAACCCAGAACCAUUGUCUUUUCCCACAGCAAAAUUACCCAACGUCUGAAGACGAGUCAGCUUACCAAUUCCUAGUGGCAUUUCCUCCAAGGAAUCUGUAUUUGAAUUAUUGAGAUGAUGCAAUUUGAUGAGGUUUCCCAUGGCUGCACACAACUUCUUCAGUCGCCGACAGUCUUUUAACAGAAGUAUGUGCAAAUUGUAAAGCUUGUUAACUGAUUCAGGCAAAGUUUUAAUCUCAGUUCCAGACAGGUUAAGGUACCUUAAAUACCUCAAAUCACCAAUUGAAUCCGGUAGCUCCGGGAUGCCGUAUCCACGCAAAGAGAAGACCCUCAAGCGUUGGAGUUUGAACAACCUAGGAAGAAUGCUACGAGCCAAGUAUCCAGGCCAGCUACUUAACAACGUUACUGGUAAAAGAGUUCGCAAGUGUUGGAUAUCGUGCAAGUCCUCAAACCUUUUAACACCAUCGUAAUCUCCACGAAUGUACGACAGAUGACGAAGAUUUCUUGAAAAACUUUGUUGCUUGUUAACCUCAGAGAUAUACUCCAUUCUGAAGUACAUUUCCCCAGCAGCCCAUUGAGCAAGGUCAUUGACGAGGUCGUGCAUCACAAAUCGUGAUAUACUGUUGCUCGAUUGCUGGAAAAAAGAUCUUCCACGUAGCUCUUGAAAGAACUUUCGACCGAGAUCUUCACCAGGAUUCCCACUCUCUCCGUGAUCCAAGAAACCCACAGCACUCCAUAAUAAAAUUAUCUCCCCCUCUUCAAAUUCAUAAUCCUUUGGAAACAAUGAGCAAUACGCAAAGCAUUGUUUCAAAGGUGCCGAAAGAUAAUAGUAGCUCACUCGAAGCGCUGGCAUAAUGUCACAUCUCUCUUCUUGCAAUUCCCAUAUCUUGGUACUGAGCACUCUCUCCCAAUCACAUCUGUCAUCUUUUCCUCGCAAAAGUCCUCCAAGUGUUUGCGCUGCCAGGGGCAAGCCAUCGCAUUUGGCCACUAUCUUCUUGCCAAUUUCCUCCAAUAACUUAUUUGACCCCAAAGAAUGUUGAGCAAAUACAGCUAGACAAUCAUCAAUUGACAACUUUUUUAAUUGAUAAGCUGAGGCAGUUCCCAUGAUGUCUCCAACCUCUUGAUUACGAGUUGUGACAAUAAUCUUACUUCCCUUCGCUCCAGCUUCAAACGGACGGCUGAGGCGAACCCAAUCAUUGUAAUUCUCAUUCCAAACGUCGUCUAAAACAAGCAAAAAUUUCUUUUGAGAUAACUUCUUCUUCAGCUCCUCUUGAAGCAAAUUUAAAUCACUGUCAUCAAUAGUCUGCUUGGUAACGGAUCUUAGAAUUGUUUUUGUUAGCCCCUUAACGUCGAAAUCCUCGGAGACACAAGUCCAUGCCUUGAGAUCAAAAUGAUCCUGCACUCGCUUAUCAUUGUAGACAAGCUGAGCAAGAGUAGUUUUGCCCAGCCCGCCCAUACCUAUAAUAGGAAUAACAGAGUAUCCACCAUCGUUGCUUACAUCAUCCCUCAACAGCAGUUCAACAACAUCCUUCUUUUCUGUUUCCCUGCCAUAUACUUUGGCUUCAAUCACUAAAGAGGUUGUCUCUAGCCUUUGACUUGCUUUUUUGGACCCUCCAGCUGAACUUUCUUUCAAAUCUAGCAAGUCUUUCUGUGUUACAAUAUCUUGAAAUCUGUUGUUGAUCUCUUUGAUUUUGGACAUCAAGGCAUAAUCGAACUGAAUCGAUUGUGGAGUAAAAGUGGUGCAGCAAGUAGGAAUGAGCUUCCGAAACUUACUUGUUCUUGUACGACAGCGACUGGGUUGAUCCUGAGCCGCAGCUGGAUCUCCAUUUCCAAGCAGCAACUUCCUCCGGAAAGCCUCAGUUUGAAAAUCAUCCAACAAGUCUUCAACAUCAUAAGCCAAGUUCUGAAGCUCGCCAAGCCACUUCUUCACAGACUGAUUAGUCGUCUUCUUCUCCUCGGCAUCAUCAAGCACCGCCUUGAUCAUCUCCAACAUAUUCGCCCACUUCUUCAGAUUGGCCCGAAUUUGCUGUUGGCGUGCAAACAACCGAAUGCCCUCUGAAGCUAACUUAUUGACCAGCAAAUCAACGGACGCCCUAAGGAUUGCCUCUCCGAUGAUUGACAUUUUUUUUUCUUUUUUGCCUUUUUCCUUUUUGUUUUGCAAAGAAAGAAACAGAAUUUUGAGUUUUGAAAGGCAAAAUGAGAAAAUUGAAUAGAAAGUGUGAACGGUCAAGCAAAAUGUGCGUACCAAGUCACCAGUCACCACCCAUUAAUAAUUUAGCAAUUCACCAAUCACCAGUCACCACUAGUUGAUAUUUGUAGGGCCAAGCAAUAUUACUCCAGUAAUGCUGAAUAAAGAGGAAGGUGGAAUGUCUCUGCUACGAACCUUCGCUUUACAAGUCUUCAAAGUCAUAACAAACCAAGUUAAAUCAAAACGUCUCUCCCUGGGUGUUCAAAGUCAUAUAACUGCUUUAUUUAUUGAUUUAAUUUUAAUGCUAAAACGAAGACUUAAAAGUACGCUACAAUGUUUUAUAAUGUUAUAUUAAUGUCGUGUUAAAAUAAAUUAUAACAAAGUUUUAGCCGACAAUAAUAAAUUCUAUUUAUUUAUUAAAUAUAUAUUUAAUAAAAUAAUAACACAAUUAAUAUGUUAUCAAUCAAAUAAAAACUCUAAUGUGAAAACAAAAUCGGCCCCCACCACCAUCAAUAAUUUAGCAAGCUUCACUUUAUUACAUUAAUGAAAACAAAAACAGCCGCUACCACCUUUAUGUGUUGCUUCCUACUUAGUACAUCUAUUGAUACGCACAUCUACCUAACAUUUAGAAAAUGGAAGUAGAAAUUGGAACUCACUUUAUGGCUCGUAUGCAAUACACGUAUCAACAUUUAAUUAGAGUUCACACACACACACACACGUGUGUGUGAGUCUAGUUUUAAUUGAGAGAUAAAUUAAACAUAAAUACUUAGAUGUUUCUAAAUGAUUGAAUAAUGAUAUUAUUGGUAUUUAUAAAUUUCUAAGAAGCGAUAAUUAUGUGGGGGACAUAUAUUUAUGGUUAUAGAAAAUGGCGGUAAAAAUGGUACAAAUCUAAUAUAAUAAAAAGGUAUAAACUGAAGUAAAUUAAUGUUUACUUUAAAGUACGUUAUAAAUAUCGCUUUCCUUAAUACGCUAUUUUCUCUCACCAAUUGAGUUAUGAAUAUGGAUUAAGCAAAUAUGCAUCUAGGAUACAAUAAAGCACUGAUUUGUUUGUUUACGUUGUACAUCAAUGAAAGCAAACAUAAAUAUUCUUGAAUGUUAUAAGCCUACCGAGAAUUAAUAUAUUAUUCUUACAAAAAAAAAAUAUGUUGGAUAUUCGAUGCAUAAAAAAUAAAUGUUAAUUGAUGAAAUUCUUUUGAAGAAAGAGGACUACAAAAAAAUGGUGUAGGAUCAUUUUAUUCAUGUCUAAUUGACAUUUAUUUUUAUGAAUGUGAGGGUAUUUUGGUAAUUUUAUGGACACAAGAGUCAUGUGUUGUGGAUAGAUGUUCGUUUUAAACUACAUUGCGUGCAGUUAGUCGUAUUUCACAUUUAUGAAAAGUAACUAUGUUGUUUCCUUGAUUAAGAGAAAUUGCGAGUGAGAACCAAACCGCGAAUAUGAACGAUAGUCGAGUUUAGGCAUUGUCACUAUGAGUGAAAUAUGCAAACUCAUUUUCAUAUUUUAUUAUGAUUUUAGAGUGUAGUAAACCAUAUUUGCAAAAUAAGAUUUUAAUGCUCUAAUUUAAUGAUUUCUAGAAUAAAUUUGAUUUACGUAUUGGUACAUUAUUAAAAUUUUAUCAAUAUUUGUUUUCCCUAUCGAUUUUGAGUAAAGUAUGCAGGUACACCAAUCGACCGACCGAUUGUAGUUAUUUUGAAUUUUUGGCCACGUGCUGGCGCUAGGAGAAAUAGAUGGUAUUAUGCAUGUUGAUCAUCUCAUUUUGGAAUGUAUAAUAUAUUGUAUUAUGAUGUGAUGAUUAUAGAUGUUUAAUAUAUGUUGAAAUCAGAUAUUAUAAUCUUUUGAUAUUGGAGAUGUUUGGGUGUUAUUUGGUAUUUUGGAUGAGAAGGUUGAUUGAUGGAACUGGUUAUAUAUUAAACUAUGUUAGGAGUGCUUGUAUAAAUUUACAAUUUUGGGAUUGUUAUAUUUAUAAGGGAAAUAACUGCCGAAUUUUUGGUAGAAUCAUUACUAAUUAAAUUAUUAUCAGUCAAGAUAGACAAUAUAAGAUAGACCCUCAUGGAGUUCGAGGCGAGUCGUCUCAAAUCAAGCCCUUUAUAAAGCUCACUCACCCCUUGUUAGCUCUCACUCGUUACAAGCAUCUAUCUAUCAAUAUAUCAAUCAAUGCUUACAUUUUCUUUCCUCUUAUACAUCAAAAUGAAGUUCACCUUGGCAACAUUGCUGUGGCAUUAUUAUUGUCAAUAGUAUAGAACGUUUACAAUUAUCAACUUCUGGUUGACCAAAAUUUUAGCGACGUUCCAUUCGGAGCCAACUGUGUUGCCUCAGUUAGCGCGAAGCUCUCUUUAAAACCCGAUGUUGAAAUUAAACCAAAAUGAAAUCCUCGGCGCAGCAAUAACUGUACUGAAGGAACGGGCUAUUCAAGCUAGGGAAGACUAUUCUAAUGCGCAUGAAAUUAGCAGAGACAGCGAUGAGCAGAGCGUGCUCAUGGCUUCCAUCUACAAAUGCACACUUGCUGAUCCUUUUAUUAGGAAGCUCUGCAAAUUGUUGGAGUAUGAUAUGUCCAUGAACCACCAAAUACCUUUCAACUUCUGUGGGAUUGGAAGAAAUAUAAGCAGGAUUAGUCUUACUGAACUCGACUCUGAUUGUUCAACAUUGUAAUGAGGGCAAUAGCAAGCCUCGCAGUUUUUAGAACUGGUUUGUACCAAGCUGUAUACUGCUUUGAUGGCCUUCCAAGCCUAUACCUGAAAACAAAAUCGCAAAUUUGAUAAGAACUAACACUGACAGAAGAUAAAGAGUACAAAAAGGCAAGCUUAAGCACUAGUACCACCACCAAACCUCUUGAUAGUAUAUGGAUGUAGAUGCAUACCAGGAAAUAUCUGUCCGAACUGAUAUGGAAACGAACGAGUAUCCAAAUUCGAUCAUCCAUUCCUGUAUUGCACUCAGAUAUACUGGUAUUCCCCCAACAUUCUCUGCCACAGAUGAAGACUGAUCAAAAUUAGCAUCAGCACAUAAUCCACUUGAAUCACCAGUUGUCAUAAUCCCGGACCCAAAGAUGGUAAUAUCAUUAUCAUCACACGGUUUCAUUGGGAGGAGCUCCAAAGAAAUCAACCGCGAAUCUGAGUUGUAAAGUGACCAAUUGUGAAGCACUCUUCGAGGAAGCUCAUCAGGACUAAUUGAAUCAAAGAUUAAAUACUCAUCAUUUUCCUCCUCACUGGGCUUGUAAUAUGCAGGCAGAGGAUAGUCAUCAACAAUUUCAUCCUCAUUGAUUUUACUGCAGAACUUGCUUGAUGAAGCAACUCUCCUCUGAGUUUUAUUAUGUUUCGUUGAUUGCCAAUUCUCCUCUUCCUGCAACAGCCUUGCCAAUUUCAUAUCUUUAUCUUCUUCACCUCCAGAAGCAGAUGAACUAGACUGAUAGUUUUGCUCUUCUUCACCAAUUCUCAUACCUGUAUUUAUGAGACUGCUGGAUGUACUGGUUUCCAGAAUAAUUGAACUCCCUUGCUUCUUAGUUUCAUCCAUCAGUGCAAGGAGCAGAGGCAAGUUCUCAAAGAUCUGAUCAUUUUUCUUGGAUGUCUCAUCUAAACCGAUGAGUUGAUUAUACAUGAAUCCACCCUGUGAGAUUAUAAAUUCCCUCGUUGAUGUCCUGUGAGGAAAAUUCUUGCUAUCACUCAUGGAACAAAAAACUCCUGCAAGCAAUUCAUCGACAGUCUGAUCAGGGUUCCCUCCACAAGAACUUGAAAGUUUUUUAUAGACCUCCACAGAGGCACGAGCCUUUUCAUAGAAAAGGUUUUAUAGUAUUUUAUAACUAUUAGCAGGUUUAACACAAUCAUAGUCUGCAGUGACAGUUGAAAUCCAAAAUACCGGUGAGCCUUCCUCAUAUCCAGAUAUUGCCCAAGAUUCAACUCGUCCGAAAUCUUCACAUCUAACACCUCUUUCCUUCUGUCUUCCACAACAUUUUUCAAGAGGCAAUAUAAGACCUGAAACGAACAAGUUUCCAACUUCCAACAUUUCAACAGACUUUAGGUUUCCACAAGCAUCAUGAAAAGCAAUUUCUGUUAGCCUUCGAUUUGGUCUCAAGUCGUCCUUUCCAGCGGUCAAGCUUAUUGCAACCUCUUCAUUUUCUGCAACAACUUCCCUUGUGCUUUCCACAAAAGAUGCACUUCCAGAGAGGGAAAGACAUUUAUCCAUGAUAUCCAUACAUGCAGCAGCUCUCUUUGGCAUUUUCCAAGAAUUGGAUGCUUUUUCACUAUUUUCAUGUCUACUUCUCUUUUGUUUUCCGGUCGUCUCAGACUUCUCGUCUAUUGUAUUAACUUCAAUGGCUGAAGAUUGCUUUCCCUUGGCUAUUUUUCCAUAUCUAGAAAUUAGUAUCCAAUUAAAAACAGGAAUAAAAGCAGAUACUAUUAAACUCCAUGGUUACUUUGGUAUAUGCGGGGAUCUACUUGUUUUUGUUUCACUUUAUUAAUUAAUUAGCGAACCAAACAUGUAAUCAUUUAAAAAAGGAUCAAUGGCACCAACUUACGAAAGAUGAAUUUGUAAGACAUUAAUUUAGAUGAAAAUGUAGUGUUAUUAAGUUAUGAAUUCAUUAACUUGAGGUAUUAAUAUUUACUAAUGAUGGUGAUUAAUUUAUUUAACUUGUCAUAAUCUUCAAUUAAGAAUGAAGUGCAAUCAAUUUAUGGAAAAAAUAAUAAUUUUUUUAUUUUUUAAGAUUUUAAUUCUUAGGAUUUCAUUUAGUUCUUUUUCGAUUAUUGACGUUGUUGAAGAGGGCAAGAAAAGCUAAUUAACGCUUGACUAGUUCUGAAAAUAUCGGCAGCCAUCGACGGCAACUAUUAAAUGCACCGUUAUAUGGAUUUACGUUUUGCAAAUUGUGGAGCCGUGGCGGGAUGGUAAAAACUGUAAUCAUGUACCGUUAACAUUUACAUGGUUAAUGUCAUCGAGAUCACAUGGUUCUUAUUUAUGAAAAGAGAAUUGCUAGAAAUUUUGUUAAUCCACCAUUGCAACAAUUUAUUGUUAUAAAUUUCAUUGUUUCCCAUAUAACAAAUAUAAUAAAAUCUUGAUAUAUUAAUAGCUCUGGGACCAUGAAAUAAUUUAUUAAAAUUUAACUAAUAUCAAUUAUUCGAUAAAUUAAUUAAUUAUUAAUUUAUGAAAAUAUUCAUUAUUUUAGAAAAAUAUGAUUACGUUUAUAGUAUUGAUUUACCUAGAGUUGGAAUAUGUUAUGUUUUAUUUGAAUAAUACUUUUCUUUUAAGAAUAUUUUUUAAUAGUUAACUGCUUUAUAAUUUCAAAUAAAGAAGUAGAUGAUACUGACGUUGAAUAAUUUUUUGCCGCAAAAUAACAAUACCAACUAGGAUUUCUUUUCGCAUUACAAAAAGUUAAAGACGAGAUCUAAGUUGAAAUUAAUUUAAAAAAGAAGCAAACAAUGCUAAGAACAUAUUUUACCCAAGCUAUAUGGACAUGUCAUAUGGAUUUCGUUUUUAUACUAGGUAAUUAUUAAUUUAUGUGAUAACAUAUUUCCUUCAAACUAUAGUAUUUGAAUUUGAAAUUUUUUUAAAAAAAUUUAGUAUUACAAUUGAUGGUUGUCGAAGCCAACAAAAAUAAAUACCUACUCUAAAUAAAUUGUGUAUAGUGAUUGAGCAGGGUCGUGUCCACAGAGAUCGGUAAUUAUUUAAAUCCUUUUAAAACGUAAAACAUAAAAUGGGGGUUUUGUUGACAAUAAUAAAAAUCAAAUUAAAAUAACAAGAAUGCAAAUUAAAGUUGUAAUUCAAAUUGGAGAAAGCUCUGGUUGAAGGAAUUAACUCAGCUUGAUUCGACUACUGAUCAUUGAUUCAAAUAUAAAUUAUUAUUACUUAUGAAUAGACCGGUUAUAGCUACUGAGACCCUCUAAUAGCCAAUUUCUCCUUAACUAGUCGAUAACCAAGGUACGACCGUUGGUUAUUUCCCUAAUCAAUAGACAACCCUAGAUACGAUCAUAGGAUUUAAUCAAUUGACAGCCAGAAAAACUAGAGAGACCCAAAUCCUAAUCAACAAACACAUACGAUGGUUAAUUUAAAUUAGAUUGUUUAUUCUCACAACACAACUCUCUGCUAUGUUAUUUGUCACAAACAUUAAAAUCUUCAUACGAUGAAUCCUUUAAUUGACAAUAGAUUAAGUUGAUAAUUAAAUAGUGGCCAAUUACCUAAUUAACAAACAUAAUCAUGAAAAUAAUUUAGAGAAUAAACAAAUACCCAAAAAGCAAUAAAACAAUUAAAGCAUAAGAAAGAUCUCACAGUAGUGAUGAAUCAAAGCUUCAUUAACCUUCAACCAGAAAAAUAGGUUUAGUUCUUCAUAGAGAGAAGAGAAAAGUUUAGAUCUAGGAUUUCUUUCUUUUUUCCAAUCUCCCCUUUUUUUCACAAUAGAUUCCUCCCUUAAAUAUUCUCUCUCUCUUCUCCUUUAGAUUUCUAUUUAAAAUAAAAUACUAAUAUAUGAAAUAUUAAAUUCGUAAUUACAAAAAUAACCAAAACUACAAAACACGUUAAACUAAAAACUGCAGGUCCGUAGUUGAUAGCACGCGCCCACGCCUUAUCAACAAAGUUCUUCUGACGCUUAUAAUUUCUCCAAGGGAACAAUCAUCCUUAAACAUCAUUUUAUAGCUCAAUUUUAUCACCAAUCAAUAGAAUUACACCUACAAAAGUAAAACACAAGUAAAUCACUAUUAUUAAGUGCAAAACAUCAAUAUUAAGGAAGUAAAUAAUGCAAAACCAGUGCAUAAAUUGCACUCUAACAAAUUCCCCCACACCAAGAUGAUGCUUGUCCUCAAGCACAUAACUCAAGACUAAUCCCAAAUCUCCACUCAAUUCUCAUCUCAACUCAUCCAAAAAUAAUUUUAAGCAAGCAUACCUCAAGAAAUUAAGUCGAUCAACAUUCGAGAGACAAGGAUUUUAAAGCAUAGAAUCUCAUAAGAUAGAAUAAAAGAAAAACAUCCAACCACCAAGAAGAUCCAUUCAAAAUUCAAGUGCAACAAUAUUUAAUAGCCCUCUCAUUGACUUCACUCCAUGCACUCAAAGUGUUUAGGGUAUCAUUUAUGCACUCAAAUCAAAUCAAAGAAUGCUAUUGCCAUAAGCUUGCUCAUAUAUCACAUCUCAAUCCACAAAACAUGAAUAAAAUGCAAAAAUCUAAGGGUCUUAAAAAGGUUGUAAUGGGGUUAAAUAUGUUAAAUGACAAAGAAAGGUCUACGAAAGAAAAAGAGAUCAAAAUGAGAAUAAUGAACUCAUUGAAUGAACUUAUGAUAUCAAAAUGCUUAUUUCUACUCAAGUCACCAAGAAUGUAAACAUUUUUUUUUCGAUUUUUUUUUAUUUUUCUUUUUCUUUUUUUUCUUUCUCCUUUUCUUUUUCUUUUUUUUGUUUUUUUGUUUUUUUUUCGAAUCAAACAAAAGAAACGAAUCUUGCACAAUUUAAUUCAAGCAUAAUGCUUGUUGAUCUAAUUGAGAAACUUUAAUACAAAUUAGAAAAAGCAACAAAAUAUAUCCACACAAUGAGUCCAAAAAUCUCCUUAAAUUGAGGCUCAAAAAGAAGAAAAAUGGUUAAGUAGACGGAGAGAAUUAGAUGGGUAAUGGUUAAGGCUCAAACAAAGAUAGCAAAUAAAGGUCUUCGGGUAGAGAAAAAAAUGCGAGAAUAGAAAAAUGGAAAAUGGUUUGCCCUUAUCAUUUUAAUGCAUAAAAUCCCAUAAUGCGGCUUCAACAUGCAUAACAAAGCAAGUUUUAGAAUAAACAAACUAAGAUUGAUAUUCACAUAACAAAAAUAAUUAGAGCAAAGUGGUUGCUCAUAGGCUCAAAUCCUCACAAAGUUAGUAAAUUUGCCAUCAAAUCAUGUACACUCUUCAAAUGAAUCAAUCAUCAAUAGUGGUGUAGAAUGAGAAGAAUGUAUGAGUGAUAUAUAAAAGGAAAGGUAAAAAGGAUAAUAAGCGAUAAAGAUGUAUGUAGUAAAAAAAAAAUGAAAGAUAAAAUGUGAGUGAUGAAAGAGUAUGAUAGAAUAAAAAUAGAUGUAAAUAAUUUGAGAUAGAUGGGAAAAGAGUAGUGAGAAAGAAAAGAAAAGAAAAUUAAUAAUAUAUGAAGCAUACUAACUCCAAAAUCAUUUAAGGAUGAGUAGAGUGAAAAUAAUACUUCCAGACAUCAAUAAUGCAAAAAUCCCUCCCCCACACCAAGAACUUACAUUGUCCCCAAUGUAAGAUAAUCAAAGCUCACAUAAAAAUUAAAGGGUAAUGAUAAAAGAUUAAAGGCAAAAACUUCCCUGAAUUGUGAGCUUUGAUCCUCAUAACGUCUAUGGGCUUGGCGGAAAUGGUGGGACAGUUGCGCGCGGGCUGCUGCUGUGGGAGAUGCUGAGAUGCGUGGGUUGCUGGGCGUGCACGGCUGCUCGGUGAACGCAGCUGCUGCUCUGGUGAAGGCUGGAGCGGCUGGUUGCUGGGAAAGAAAACGAUUUUUUUUUUUUUUUUGGUGAUGAAUCACUUGAGACACUAAAAAUUUCAGAAGUAUUUUUUUAAUAAGCACGUGGGCACGCCUUAAAACCAUUUUACUUUAAAAAUCACAGAAGUACUUAUUAGUUAAGACGUGAGCACGCCUUAUCAAAAAUUUUCUUCUGGCCAAAAUAAGCAAACACAUUAUUUAAAAAAAAUCUGAAUCAAAAUUAAAAGAAGAUAUAACAAAAACCAAAAUAAAUAAAUCAUUUGGGUUGCCUCCCAAAAAGCGCAUUUGUUUUAUGUCUUUGGCUAGACACAUUUAUGCAUCAAUCUCCAUAAUUGGGACUCUCGAGAGCCACAUCCUCCACAAUAUUCACCGAAAAACCUUCAUAAAAAGGUUUUAAGCAAUGACCAUUAACCUUAAGAACUCUGUCAGAGGUCGGACUCCGAAUCUCAACUGCACCAUGAGGAAAAACAUUAGUAAUAAUAAAAGGUCCAACCCAGCAAGAACGUAAUUUACCCAGAAAAAGUUUAAGUUUAGAAUGAAAAAGAAGAAUUUUUUGACCAACAGAGAACUCCUUUCUCAAAAUCAUUCUAUCAUGAAAUGUCUUCGUCUUUUUCUUGUAAAAAAAACUUCCUGCACUAUAGGGUUAAUAACAUCCACAGAAAAUACCAAAUGUUCCUCAUUAGGAUAUUUCAUGGCAUCAUUCAUAUUGAAUUCUAUAACCUCUCCAUCAAACUCCAUAGUGAGAGUCCCUUUAUGUACAUCCAUUUUAGUCCUAGCAGUCUUAAGAAAAGGUCUUCCUAGCAAAAUUGGGACAGAAUUAGAGGAGUUAUCAUCUUCCAUAUCAAGUACAUAAAAAUCAGCAGGAAAAACCAACUCAUUAACUUGUACUAAGACAUCUUCUAAUACCCCAUCAUGAUAUGCAUUAGACCUAUCAGCUAGUUGAAUUAUCACACCAGUUUCUUUUAAUGGACCAACAUUCAAAGAUGAAUAAAUGGAACGAGACAUGACAUUAAUAGAAGCUCCUAGAUCUAACAUAGCCUUUUCAACUCUAAUACUACCAAUUUUACAAGGGAUAGUAAACAUACCUGGAUCCUUGCACUUAGGAGGUAGUUUCUUUUGGAGAACUGCUGAAACAUUCUCCCCCAUGUGAACUUUUUCAUCUCCUCUUAAUUUUCUCUUCGAGGUGCACAGUUCCUUAAGUACUUUAGCAUAUCGAGGUAUUUGUUUUAUAGCAUCUAAUAAAGGAAUAUUUACCUCAACCUUGCGAAAUGUCUCAAGGAUGUCUUUCUCUUGUUCCUCCUUCUUGGAUUUUGCAAACCGGCUUGGAAAAGGAGGAGGUAUCACAAUAGGUAGGGGUUUUGCUCUGAUGGGUUGCACAUCUUGAGAUUUAGGCAUCAAUUCAUUCUUCUCAAGCUCAUCUUCUACAUGCUUUGUCACUUUCUUACUAGGCUCUUGCAACUCCUUCCCACUUCUAAGGAUGACAACAUUAACGUUUUGCUUUGGAUUCACCUCAGAUUGUGAAGGCAAUCUCCCUAAUACUUGAGACUCCAGACGGCUCACUGUAGUCGCCAAUUGACUCAUUUGGUUCUCCAAGUUCUGAAUGCUUGCUGUAGUUGCCUGCUGAAAUUGUUGAGUGUUAGUCGCAAGUGAUUUAACAAUUUCUUCAAGAGAUAUGCCUGACUUGGAGUUUGACUGUGGAGGUGCUGGUUGUCUUGGUGGAUACUGAUGUGGGAAUCCUGACGGCCUAACUCCAUAGCUGAAGUUGGGAUGAUCCUUCCAUCCCGGAUUGUAUGUUUGUGCAUAAGGAUCAUACCUCCUCUGAGGCAUGCUUGGAAAUCCUCCAACUGCAUUGGCUUGUUCAACGGGUUCUUCUUGAAGUGUAGGACACAUAUCAGUUGAAUGACCCAUAUUGUAACAAAUGCCACAAGUCUUCACCUGUUGCACAUUACCUACAACAAACUUUUCCACAAGAGAAGUAAGUUUAUCUAAACGUUGUUCAACAAAAGAAAUAUUUACCUCAUUCACCUUCCUUGAAGUGGGAUCUUGCCUGCUACCAAAUUGUUGUGCAUUGGCAGCCAUAUUUGAGAUCAACUCCCUUGCUUGUGCAUUGGCAGCAUCUAUCAUACUCCUAUCCAUUAAUGACAGUCCUUCGUAAAAAUAUUGAAUAAGAAGUUGAUCAGAAAUCUGAUGCUGAGGACAGCUGGCACACAAUUGUUUGAAUCGCUCUCAGUACUCAUACAAAGUCUCCCCAGGAAGUUGUCUGAUCUCACAAAUAUCUUUUCUGAUGUUGGCAGCUCUUGAAGCAGGAAAGUACUUCUCGAGGAACUGCUUCUUCAAUCCAUUCCAUGUUGUAAUCGAUCUAGGAGGCAAGUAGUACAACCAAUUUUUAGCUAGUCCAUCUAAAGAGAAAGAAAAAGCACGCAGCUUAAUCUGCUCUUCAGUCACGACUUGUGGUCUCAUACUUGAACAUACAACAUGAAACUCCUUGAGAUGUUUAUGAGGAUCUUCACCUGCAAAACCAUGAAACUUGGGUAAUAAAUGAAUAAGACCAGACUUUAAUUCAAAAUUUACCUCCAAGUCUACAUAUUGAAUGCAGAGUGGUUGCUGAUUCAAGUCUGGUUCAGCUAACUCUCUACGAGUUCUUUCUACAAGUGCAACUCUAUCCAUCACUUGUUCUUCUGAAUCGCUAGAUGAUUCAACUAAAUCAGGCACCGUAUUUGUUUCAGAAAGCAAAGGCGACGAGGAUCGUUGCUUAGCUUGCUUCGUCUGCUGUCUCAGCUGGCGAGCUGUCUUCUCAAUUUCAGGAUCAAACGAAAGUGUACUUGUACGAGAAGAACGAACCAUACACCAAGUAAAACGUAAAAAAAGAUUAAAUAAACGACACCAAUCCCCGGCAACAGCGCCAAAAUUUGAUGGUUGUCGAAGCCAACAAAAAUAAAUACCUACUCUAAAUAAAUUGUGUAUAGUGAUUGAGCAGGGUCGUGUCCACAGAGAUCGGUAAUUAUUUAAAUCCUUUUAAAACGUAAAACAUAAAAUGGGGGUUUUGUUGACAAUAAUAAAAAUCAAAUUAAAAUAACAAGAAUGCAAAUUAAAGUUGUAAUUCAAAUUGGAGAAAGCUCUGGUUGAAGGAAUUAACUCAGCUUGAUUCGACUACUGAUCAUUGAUUCAAAUAUAAAUUAUUAUUACUUAUGAAUAGACCGGUUAUAGCUACUGAGACCCUCUAAUAGCCAAUUUCUCCUUAACUAGUCGAUAACCAAGGUACGACCGUUGGUUAUUUCCCUAAUCAAUAGACAACCCUAGAUACGAUCAUAGGAUUUAAUCAAUUGACAGCCAGAAAAACUAGAGAGACCCAAAUCCUAAUCAACAAACACAUACGAUGGUUAAUUUAAAUUAGAUUGUUUAUUCUCACAACACAACUCUCUGCUAUGUUAUUUGUCACAAACAUUAAAAUCUUCAUAUGAUGAAUCCUUUAAUUGACAAUAGAUUAAGUUGAUAAUUAAAUAGUGGCCAAUUACCUAAUUAACAAACAUAAUCAUGAAAAUAAUUCAGGGAAUAAACAAAUACCCAAAAAGCAAUAAAACAAUUAAAGCAUAAGAAAGAUCUCACAGUAGUGAUGAAUCAAAGCUUCAUUAACCUUCAACCAGAAAAAUAAGUUUAGUUCUUCAUAGAGAGAAGAGAAAUGUUUAGAUCUAGGGUUUCUUUCUUUUUUCCAAUCUCCCGUUUUUUUCACAAUAGAUUCCUCCCUUAAAUAUUCUCUCUCUCUCUUCUUCUUUAGAGUUCUAUUUAAAAUAAAAUACUAAUAUCUGAAAUAUUAAAUUCGUAAUUACAAAAAUAACCAAAACUACAAAACACGUUAAACUAAAAACUGCAGGUCCGUAGUUGAGAGCACGCGCCCACGCCUUAUCAACAAAGUUCUUCUGACGCUUAUAAUUUCUCCAAGGGAACAAUCAUCCUUAAACAUCAUCUUGUAGCUCAAUUUUAUCACCAAUCAAUAGAAUUGCACCUACAAAAGUAAAACACAAGUAAAUCAUUAUUAUUAAGUGCAAAACAUCGAUAUUAAGGGAGUAAAUAAUGCAAAACUAGUGCAUAAAUUGCACUUUAACAACAAUAGUAGUCGUGAUUCGAUUGGUUUCAAUUUUAUAAGAAAAAAGUUGGGGAAAUAGACAAACAAUGAAGGAACAAGUUAAGGAGAGCCAAUAAACAGGGAAAAGUGAAUUAGUGCCCUUGAGCACAUUAAUAAUCUCGGCUUUCUAUGUACAAUUUUGUAAAUUCAUGUCAUAUACCAGAGUCUUUUGGGUUUUGUUGCAUCAAUUCUUUGGGGUUUAUCUUGUUUUAUUAUUUUAUGAUGCAAGAGUCCUAGUAGUGCUGUAUGUGGAGUAAAAAUAUUUAAUUUAUUUUUUGUUAUUAUUAGCAAACGUUAUUAUUAAUUAAUCAACCCAUCGAGGUAUAUUGAUUUCUUUGUAUUAGCUAAUUGCUUAAUGCUUUUUUGUGCUUCUCGCCAUGAAAUCACGAAGUACUUGCAAAUAAGAUCAUAGAGGUGGUGUGUUGUGAUGUGAUAAAAUCAUAUCUAAAUUAAGAGAUGAUUCAUAUAUAGACACUUACUGAACAAGGAUAUUUAAACACAAGCAUUUAAUUUUACGAUAUACCUAAUAAUCAAAGGUUUAAUGCUCAGGUUAAAACGGAGUGAAUAGAAAUAAAUGUAAAAAGAUAAAAAGAUGAACAAGUGAACAUGAUAAUUUAUUAAAUAAAAAAUUAAAUUUAUAUCUAUUUUAAUAAGUGUGAAAUCAUUUAAUUUAUUUUGAGCACUCAUUUUUUAUUGCAAAAAACUUCAUAAUUUCAUUUACUAAUAAGGACAAUUCAAUAUAAGUAAAUAGGACAAUAAUAUUUUUGACAUUCAUGUAGCGCCCACACAUUCAUGUAAAAUUCUUAAACCUUAAACUGGAGAAUACUCUUCAUCAAAACUCAUUUAAAAGCAUAUUUCUUUGACUUAGAUUUUGAGGAGGUUCUAUGGGAAUAACCAACUGCUGAAAAACAAAUAAAAAACCAGAUAUAAGUGUAGAAUAUUCUCAUUAGAUUUUAAUGUUUUGCACAAACAUGGCCUGCAUAUAUACACAAAUAACUGUUCUACGAAUAUGUAGAAGCAAUCUCAACUGUCCAAUUUUUUUUUUCAAAUUUUAACGAAUAUAAAUUGUAUAUGUUGGAUAACUAUAGAAAAUAAGAUUAGGAAAAUGAUAUUAUCAAUAAAAAGGGAAAGCAAAUGCAUUUAAUAUUGGUGCGAUGAAUAUUCUUAUGGGUGUAAUAAGAAAAACAAAGAUAAUAAAAGGAAUGCUAUUGGUCUUUCAUAUGAUGCACAAAUUACCUUUAUCAAUUCUAUUAUAUAAAUACUCAUAAAUUUUACCCAAAUUAUCAAAAAAAAGAAGAAAAAAAUCAUAUAGUUAAUUUUUCUUCUUCUUUACUCCAUUAUUCAAUAGGAGUAUAAUAAACUAGGAGAAAGGAGAAAUUAAGGAGAAAAUUAGGGUGAUUAUUGCAAUGAUAAGAACCCAGGCAAGUGCUUAUUUCAGGUACAUGCGUGGCAUUCAUUAAUUUGACCAAAAAUAAAUGAAUUUAUUUGUAUUUUAAUUAAAAUCGAGGGACAUCAACAAAAUUUUUCUUCUCCAGGAAUUUAUCAUUUUCUCGUUAAGAAAAAAAUUGCAUAAAAUUAAGAAACCAGUAGUCACUGAACGGGAGAAACAGAGUAAGGAGAGUUCAAAUUUCAAAAGAUGGAACCCGAAGAAGAAACCCUAGCAACGAUCCCAGAAGAAGAAGAAGAUGAUGAUGAAGACACGGCCAUGCCCAACGUUAAGCAAAACCCUAAAACAAAAACAAAAGACAACUCUUGGGACUCGAGCGAUGCCUCUGACUCUGACUCGGAUUCUGACUCAGAAGACUAAGCAAAACAGAACAUGGAGCUUCAAAACUAGAGUAUCAGCUAUCCAAUGAACCUUCCAUUUACGACAUCCAUGUUCAAGUAACUUCAAUACGCAUACUUAUUCAGUGAUUUUGUGGAUACCCAUUUGCUUGUUCUUUCUUAAUUGGGAUGCGGUAAAAAUAGCUUUUUUUUUUCUUCAGUAUAUAAAGGUUUUCAGAAAAAUGGGUGAGAUAGAGAAGCUGAGACAAGCUAGGGAAGCGAUGAAAGAGAUUGUUUGCAUUGACUCCUGCUAGGUGGCAAGAAUGGGCGAGAGAUGAAGCCUCUAUUUCAACUGGGUAUCUGUCAUUUCUUUUUUGCAGUGGUUUUCGAUUUUCUGAACAAAUAUUUUUUCGCUUAGAGAUAUAGAUGUUUAUGUUGUUAUUUGCUGGAACAAAACCUGCUUAAAAGGUAUUAAAGAAAGAAAAAGAGAACCAAUUUGAAGAAGGGGAUAGUUAUAGUGGGAGUUCUAUUCUUUAGGGUUUAAUUGAUGGGAGAAGAAACAGCUUAUAUGUUUACAGAAUUAGACAUUUGAUCACUGAUUUAGUUGAGGAAGAUAUUUAAUCACAAUGUCUGAUGUUGUUUCUGUUGGCCUCAGCUAAUUGUUAAGAUUUCAUACUUUCAUUCAACAAUGCAAUAGACUUUGGUUGGGUCCACCUUAGUUGGGUGUUCUGCGGAACCAAUGAGUGUCUUGAGAAAACUUGGGUGGAGUGUGGAUCAUUUUCAGGAUUUAGUUUCCAAGAAAACAAAAACAAAGUCGUAGUCGUAGUUUAAAUUUAUUAAUGUUUUUGUCUUUUUCUGUGAGCCCAGUGAGCUUUUGUUUUCACUUUGUUCUCUUUUGCUUCUUUCCCUUCUUUUCCUGUUGUUUCUUGACAAUCAAGCAGAUCAGGAUUAAGUGUUUACUUUUGGUCUAAUUAUUCACUCUAACUCGAAUAAUACAUAGGUUUAGUGCUAUCAAAAUAGGAAGUGAAUUAAUAUCUGAAGCUGACUUGGGAGUGGAAUGUAUGUUACUAAAAAUAUAGUAUUAUGGUAGAUAGAAUUUGCUUUUUAGGUAAGACUAAAAUAAUUACCGCUGUUAAUUUAUUUCAAUAAGUUCGUACAUCAUUCGAUAAUAAGUCCAAGAUUUUAAUGGUUUUGUUUCCUGAAAAUUUUUCAUCAGUGCAUGAACAAAGUUCAAUGGAUGAACUUCUCUCAGUUAAUUCGAGUUUUGUAUGAAACACUAAUCUUGCUCUGUACUUUGGAGUAUUUUAAUAAUUGAUGUUAAGAUUUGCUAAUGUAAAAAGGAAGAAAAUCUGCUUAAAGGUAUUAAAGAAAGAAAAAAAGAACCAAUUUGGAGAAGGGAAUACUUAUAGUGGGAGUUCUAUUCUUUGGGGUUUAAUUGAUGGGAGAAGAAACAACUUAUACGUGUACAGACAUAGACAUUUGACUGCCGAGUUAGCUGAGGAAGAUAAUUAAUCACAAUGUUUGAUGUUGUUUCUGUUGGCCUCAGCUAAUUGUUAAGAUUUCAUACUUUUUUCUGGUUUUUCAUAACUGUGACCUAAAGCUUAAUGAAUACUUUGAUAAUUACAUAAUCGGUUUCUUGCUGAUACUUGGCUUUAAUUUGUAGACCUGAGGUUCUUUUGGGAGUAGGCAAGAUUUACGAAAGAGGAGUUUCUGAUUAUCUGGUUUGUUCUCUUUAUGCCUACAGAAUUUGAAUUCAUACUAUGCAUGAAUUUAUGAUUCUUUGAGAAAGAUUUGAUGAAAUUGAAGCAUUAUAGUAAAGCGUACCACUGGUAAGCUUGAUUCACUUUGUUUUUAUUUACUACCAAGAGGUGCUAAUAGUUUAUGAUGCACAAAAAGAGGUGGGGAAAAAAAGAAAUCUUCUUGCUAGAUUUAAUAUUUGAAUCAUUUUCAACCAAAGAAACGUGAUGAAGAGCAGCAUUUUCGUCUAUAUCAAAGUUCAAUUGCAUCCUAUAUCAUCUGUUUCCAUCUCCUUUGUGGUAAAUAAAGUCCUUGAUGAUGACAAUAAGAACCACAGAAGAAGUUAAUUUCAUAUCUGGAGAUUUUCAUCAUAGUUGUUCAUUGAAAUUGAAGGCAGCUGAGUACUCCUUUUUCUGAUGCAGUCUGUCCCUCUUUGGUGUGAUUAUUUGAAAUUUGUGCAAGGAUAUGAUCCAUCUAUACGAGAAUGUGCCUAAUAAAAUAUCACAAAGGUGCCUAAUACAGUGAAAUUAACAUAUUCAGCUCAUGAGAUUGCCAUUAUAUAUAUUGAAAAAGAAAUUAAUAUAAGAAACUGAAAAUUAAUUGACACUGGAUCAUGUUGGAUUGUUAGUUGUUAAUUAUGAUGGGAAUAUAAUCUUGGUCUUUUAAUUAUCAUCUAGCUAAUGCAUGUGCACUUUCAUUUGUGUCUAUCACUGAAGAAUAAAAUUGCUUGAUUGAACAGCAUCAUAUGAAAGAAACUGAAAACUCAAUUUCAUUGCCCGAGCAUACCAUGCCAUAUGUAGCUCAAAAGUGCAAUUAACAUUGAACAUUCAGCCAGCUAGCUCGUACUAAUUAAUUUAUAGGAUGGUUAGUUCUUUAUGAUUCACUAAAAGAGAAAAUAUUUAACAAUCACGAAAACAACAACAAUUCACUCCCAUAAACAACAUAAUAGAUACAUGGUCUAUAUUGCAAGUCUUUUUAUGAUUUUAAUUAAAAAAGAAAACGCAAAGGACAUAUUAUAUAUAAUUGAAUGUUCUCCUUGAUAAUUAGACAAAAUAACACCAAUCUUGGUAACUAAUACAAUCAUCAUAAUUAUCUGAUUUUCAUUUUAAUUAUGUCCAAUCAUGCUAAUUUAAUAAAGAACACUGAAUACAUGAGUAUUUAUAUGUUCAACAACUUUGGCUGAGUAUGAAAAAUAUAAGAGCUGCAUUUAUGCUUUGUGUUAUUAAGUAGGACAUGACCCUAUUAUGUUGCAUUUGUCAGAAAACUGAAAAUUAUCGAAAAGGAUCCUAAAAGAGAUGUGUUGAAUUGUGAGCUUAAAAAUGAGUUUUAGAAGUUUCUUACAUGUUGGUUUGUAUCAUUGAUUGUGCAUGCCCUGUUGGUUUCUGGAUGAAACAGGAGAAUAUGACAUCUGUGUAUUGUCUUUUACUUCCAGUAAGUGAAUCACAUGUUCUUCACAUGAUUUGACAUACUUUAUACGGAUUUAGCGGUUGUUUUGGUCACUUGAGUUAAGCACGUGAUUCAAGGUUGUUAACUGACCAUUGUAAGGCGGGAAAAUUCUGGGUUUCUUACAACAAACCCAGAAGGCAGCUGGCGGGUGGGAGAUAUUUCUAGAUUCUUCAUGAUAUGUAUAUAUAGUCUUAGAGGCUAUAGUUGAGCCAUAUGAAAAGCUUGUAACUUCUUAAUGUUUGUAGCUUGUUCUUGGUUAUUGCUCUGACGAGGGAAGUGAGCUAAAAUAACAUCAACUUUUAUUUAUGGACAGGUUAAGAAAAUUUUUGAGUUCCUGAAAAAUGGCUUCCAUGAGAUCAGCAGUUCUUUGGAUUUAUCUUUCGAAUAUGAUUUGGUUGCUGAUGAGAAAAUUCCAUUCCUAGCUUAUCUUACCAGUGUUCUAAAGGACCAUUCCUUUUUCCCAUAUGAGCCACCAGCUGGGAGCAAAAGAUUCAAGAAUCUGAUUGCUGACUUCAUGAAAAUGUACCACCAUAUUCCUUCACCACGCAUCUGUUUUUUUACUUCUCUGGACAAGUAAUUUUUGUAUUGUCUGUCCUAGAUUCUGUUUUCCCUGAUGCAUUAUUUCAAUUUCUUUGCACGUGAAGUCCUAGGAUCUGUUUCCCUUGAUGCAUUUUUUCAAUUUCUUUGCGUGUGAACUUGGAGCAUUGAUAUUAGUUUAGGGGUGAAUCUAUUGGUCAUUUUCUUGUUUGUAACAAAUAACGUAUGAAACAAUCUUGUUAUUUUUUGUUCUCAAUAUGUAGAGCUCUAUGGACCAAUUGUUUGUCUUCUGUUAUCCUCAUUAGAAUUUCUUCAGACUACUUCCACUUCAUGCUAUUUGUGAUAAGUUGUAUUGUUUUUGUGGUCUUUCUUAUGUCUGUUGGACAAAUACUGUAAUAUGAAAUUUUAUCUAAUGGUCCUAUAUUCCUUUUGCAUCAUGUCCCCUCUAGUAGUUAAAUGUAUUUUUGGAUUUGUCAAUUAUUUGGUUUGAUGAAAUCUUGAUUCUCAUGUUAUCUAUCUGUUCAUUCAACUUGACCAUGGAAUGUGUUGUUGCUGUGAGUUACGCUGCACGUGCUAGUUAUUCGUCUAGUCUUUUUAUGUAAACAUACGGGUUCGGAUGUACUCGUAUAUAUACUGGACCUUAGAUAUUUGCACCUGACCUACUUAUUGAUGUACGUGUAAUAUGAAGAACAUUUUGAGAUCUGGAAUGGAUCAAGACCUGCAAUUUUUAUUUGUAGAUUUUCCACUCUCCAGUCCAAUUAUAAAAGACAGUUUGUGAAUGCUGCAUGAAUAAACUAGCCAAACUUAAAGAUGCUUAAUUGCCUCUUUCUCUUCUUUUGUAUACGAGUAAAACAAUCCACAUUCCUAACUUUUCUUCUCCACUUGUUUCUCAAAAAAAAUUUUCUUUCCUUCAAGAGCUGUGUGGCAAUUGUGAAUGCUCUUCAAUUGUUUUCACCUCGCCUUGAACAUCUAACCAGACGCUUACCGAAGCAAUGGUUAACAAGUUUAGCAAUCAAGGUAUGAUCUAUUUCUGAUUUAUUUUUGUGUUAUUUUUGACAUAGUUGAAGAUGUCAUUUUUUGGCAGAUUUUCUUUGCUAUUCUUGGAACAAGUAAUAGUGCUUAUUGCCUUGUUUGCACACAUACUAGUCUAGACACGCCACAGAAGUUUUUGGAUGAUGAAAUAUCAGAUAGGAACUCAGCACAUUGUUUACCUGUUGCCUUUAUUCCUCAAGUGACAGUAAAAACUAGUAAUUGCAGUAGAUGAUAUAUUUAAUGAAAAUUAAUGGGCAGUCAGACUUUUGUGUUGACAUGAAGGGGGAGAGGACAAAAAGUCGAAGUAAUAUAUGAGUGCUGAGUGGAACAUGUUAAUGCUCAUUUGGAAAAUGGGUGAGGAUCACAGUGCCAAAGCUUGCAGCCUAAGGUUAUCAACAUUGAUGAAGAGGCUGCUGGUAAUUCUUCCGGUGAAGAUAUUAACGCCACGAAAGCUUAAAUGUAAUUGAUUAAAGGAAGAAGUGCUUGCUUUGCUUGAUGUGCUUUUCGCUUAUGAUCUUUUCCUGGUUUUGUUGUGAGAUGUUUCUCUUUGGAUUUUCUGUUUAUUGUACUUUGAUGGGUUUUUGAGGAUGACUUGUAUGUAUUAACAACAAUAAAGUGCUUUUCAUAAAUCCCUAGUCCUACAGCACUAAAAGAAAUUAAUACACUUGGUUUAUUGUUAAUAAUAUAUAUAUAUAUAUAAGCGGACGCUGUAUAACAAUAGAAAGAGCACCCAACAUCCCAAGAUCUUCCAGCAAAUUAAUGAGAUUACUCCUGUACACGAUCAAAAUAAUUACAAUUUUAUUGUAUGUAUAUGUGUGUGUAUAUAGACACACGGCGUAUACAAAAAAUGUAAAUAAUUUUCAAAUAUUAAACAUUUAAAAUAGUCAGCAUAUUAACAAUUUACAAUUUAGAUUAUACGUAGACGAAAUAAUGGUAACAACAAUAAAGUACUUUUUAUAAAUCCUAGUCCUACAGUAGUAAAAGAAUUAAUGAGCUUGGUUUUUAUUAAUAAAAAUUAAAAAAAAAAUCUUUUUCUCCAAAACUUAUUAUGAAUUUUAAGGAGGAAGAAAAAAAAAGUCCUAUUCCAAUUCAUAAAGAGAAGAUACACACGCAUUUGCCGAAGUCUAUGAAGAGAAAUUAAAGUUUCAAGAGCUGAACAAUGCAUUUUAUUGUUUAAUUAAAAAAUUCGAAAAUCCAUUGGCCUUAUAUACAUGAUAAAGACUCACCGACGCCGAACCAUAUUAAUUUAACCGUAUAUAACCGUACAGCAGAAGGAUAAAUAAAAGAAAAUGAAGUUUCAACAGCUGAAUAAUGCAAACUCAUUUUCUUUUUACAAGCAUUUUAUUGUUUAAUUAAAAAAUUCGAAAACCCAUUGGCCUUAUAUACAUGAUAAAGACUCACCGACGCCGAACCAUAUUAAUUUAAAUUAGUUUUCAACUGAGAUUUGAAUUUUGAAAUUACAUACAAAAACACGCCCAUUUUUUUUUAAAUACUAAUAAUAAAAUAUUUCAUUUUUCAUCUAUUACAACAAGAGGCAUAAUCGCAAAAGUGAAAAAUAUUUCAUUUAACAAGUCCCAAUAUUGUCCUCCAGCCUUUAUGCACUUCUCUGCUAUCAACGGACAACUCCAAAUCCAUAAUCGCAAAAGUGAGGAAGGCAGUCAUCCUCUGUUCAAUUAUCAAAAACUCCUUUUACCAUCCAUUUCAACGCCUAAUUUGAAAAAAGAAAAUACUAAUAAUAAUAAAAUAUUCCAGUCGUCCAUCCUUUCACAAAUCAAAAAUAUCACCAAAAACCAAUUUCCAAUCUAUUUCAAAACAAUUUUUGCCAAAGUCCUAUCCUCCACGGCUAAUUAAUUCAUACAUUAAUACAGUCCUCCUUUGCUGAAUAAUGCAAACCCGUUACGUUAUUCUACCAUUUCUUAAAUUUAAAGCAUUCCACCAUUUAAUAAAAAAAAUUCGAAAACCCAUUAUAUACAAUACAAAAAGCCCACCGACACCAAACCAUAUUAAUUUAAAAUAGUUUUCAAUUGAGUUUUGAAUUUUAAAAUUACAUACACUGAAACACACCCGAUUUAAAAAAAUAAUAAUAACGCUAACAAUAAAAUAUUUCAGCCGUCCUCUGCUGAGUCGUCAUCAAAAACCAAUUAACCAUAUAUAGCAACAAGCGGUAUAUGGGUUAACAAGUCCCAAUAUUGUCCUCCAUCCUUUCUGCACUUCUCUUCUAUCAACGGACAUCCCGAGAUCCAUAAUUCCAAAAGUGAGGAAGGCAGGCCCUUCUCCGGAAAGUAUUUGAGCUUGGGACAUCCCCGGAGAACCAAUUCAGUGAGGUUUCGAAGAUCAAUAAUUGAAGAAGAUAGGCGUUCCAGAUUUGGAAAAUCUUCAAUCCGCAGAGAUGUUAGAGUGGUAGGAAGACGAAGCACGGUCCCUAAUCUUUUGUCCUCUAGUGGAAAUGACACCAUCAUCGUGUCGUCAUCGCAUCCGUCGAUUGUAAGAUGUCGCAGAGAGGAGAAUCUGUGAAAUCCCCGGCCCCACUCAAUCAUUGACUUCCAAAUCUCCAUAUUACCCCGAAUAACAAGUGAAUGAAGGUUGGUGGGAAGGCCAUCUUCUUCAAGGCUUAGAAGCGCACCUCCUAUUGUUAAGUCUUGAAGAGUGCUCAGAUUGUGCAAUCCCUUGGGUAAGGCCUUUAGUCUCUUACAAUCAUAUAUCUCCAGCGCCGUGAGUUUCGCACAAGGCAAUCCCCCUCCGGGAAAGGACACCAGAUUUCCACAACUGCCAAUACUAAUCUCUCGAAGCUGGUGGAGUUUAUGUAAACCACUCGGUAAAAUUUUCAGAUUUUCACAAUUAUAAAUACUGAUUGUUUCAAGAGAUGUGUUGUUGUCCAACCUUUCUGCUAUUGACUCCAGCUUUGAACAAUACCGAACACGAAGGGACUUAAGAGACGGAGGUAGAUUGCCAACUUCAAGGGACUCAAGCGUGGCAGGUAACUCGUUUUUUGAAAAUAUACAUGUCAGUGAUGGACAAUAGCGAAUGCCUAAGUGCUCGAGAAGAUAUGAGGUGUACCUUCUGCUGCUGCUGCUACACUGGAUGCCCUCUUCCACUGUCAAAGUCCUUAUAUUAUCGCAAUACCAGAUCGUCAACAUCUUAAGGCUCGAUGGUAGCUGGACAGCAGCAAUAUAUGUCAACGAACGGCAACCAUGAAUACUCAAGAUCUCGAGAGACGAAUUAGUGUCGCACAUCCAUGCCUCUGGUAACGAUUUCAGUGCAUCACAUUCUCCAAUCUGAAUUUUCUUCAACUUGGAAGGCAGAGCAACCUCAGGAAAGGAAACAAGGGAACUGCACUUGAAGAUUUCUAUCUCUCUCAAGGAACUGAGGCUGAACGAUGAUUGUGGCAGCUUCACAAGGCCUUCGCAAUAACUCAAUAUUAGAUAUUCAAGUCUGCACGACAACUGGCAGAGCUGCUGUUGUUGGUCUUUCUCUUCCUCCGCGACCAAGGAUUGAAGUUUGGGACAACUUGUAAUCGUCAGUCUUUUGAGAGAGCAAAUGUCCUGCAGUAAUUCGUUAUGGCUCUUCCAUAUACAUGUUUCAUUUUGAAUAUUAUUUAUCUUCAAUUCUUCCAGUUUUGGUAUUCGCGGCUUCAAUGGCCCUGCGAGAAACACUUGAUUUGAUGCAUCUCUACAAACCACUGAAUUCUGUGAGCCGAGAUGAUCAGUUGCACUUCUCCACACAACCUUUUUACAUCCACCAAUUUCCAUUUUGCAAAGAGCUGGAAGACUCGUAAUUGAAAUGACAAUUCUUUGCAUUCUUGAAUAACAAGCAUCUCCAAUGCAGGAAGGUGCUCUGGAAAUGUUCCUUGCAGUUUAGAACAUCUUAAAAUGUGAAGCUCUCUCAAUUUAGGAAACCGUUCAACUCCCUGACUGGAUCCAUGAGGAAUCCAGUCUUCCCACUCUUGCAGGUCUUCAAAACGAAGAGUCUCCAAGCAUGGAAAUGGAAUUGGAGAGUCAUCCCCAUAGAACUCUGAACCCAAUCUCUUUACUCUACUCAUUCCACGCACUGUAAGAUGCUUUAGAGAGGGCAGUUGCCCGACAGACGGCAAGGCAGUACACAUGCCGCAAUCUUCAAAUUUAAGUGUUACCAAAUUUGAUAAUGAGGAAUCUCCUAACCAUGUUGGAAAUUUCGUACCUCCAUAGCCACAGACACAAAAUUGUUCCAGAUUUUUAUGGGGUUUGAGCAUGUCAAGCACGCCCAUUUCAGUUUCUGCCUCCCUUGAAGAUGAACCAUCGGUGCUGCAAGUCCAAUUAAGCGAUAAUUCUUUAAGGUUCUUCUUUCCAUCCAACCGAGCCUCCUUUGCAUCACCAAUGUCUUUUACAUUCUCUAAUUUUGAAAUUUCAAGUGCCCCACGAAGAUGCAUCAACAACUUUAGCUCUGAUAACCCCGAACCACUGUCUUUUCCCACAACAAAAUUACCCAGCGUUUGAAGACAAGUCAGCUUACCAAUUCCUAGUGGCAUUUCCUCCAGGGAAUCUGUAUUUGAAUUAUUGAGAUGAUGCAAUUUGAUGAGAUUUCCCAUGUCUGCACACAACUUCUUCAGUCGUCGACAGCCCUCCAACAGAAGGGUGUGCAAGUUGUAAAGCUUGCUGACUGAUUCAGGCAGAGUUUUAAUCUCAGUUCCAGACAGGUUGAGGUGCCUUAAAUACCUCAAAUCACCAACUGAAUCCGGCAGCUCGGCGAUGCGAUAUCCACGCAGAGAGAAGACCCUCAAUCGUUGGAGUUUGAACAACUCAGUAAGAAUGCUAGGAGCCAAGAAUCCAGGCCAGCUACUUAACAACGUUACUGGUAAAAGAGUUCGCAAGUGUUGGAUAUCGCACAAGUCCUCAAACCUUUUAACACCAUCGAAAUCUCCACGAAUGUACGACAAAUGACGAAGAUUUCUUGAAAAACUUUGCUGCUUGUUAACCUCUGAGAUAUACUCCAUUCUGAAGUACAUUUCCCCAGCAGCCCAUUGAGCAAG
rnacentral:lncRNA from 1 species